rnacentral:lncRNA from 1 species
AUCCACUAAGUUGGAAAGUAGUCAAACUCAACACACAUAUAUUAUUAAUUUAAUUUCCUUGGUAGCCAAGACAAUCGAAUAUAUCCAUACAUGUAUACAAAAGGAAAAACAAAUCAACCAAAUAAAUCACAUACUCCAAAUACUGUAUAGUUGUAGAGUGAAGACACAUUUGAUGGCAGUGGGAGUUGAUCUUGCUGAAGCAUAUGUGUUGCGAAAGAUGCAUAAAGAAAAACUGAAGGAAAAGGAAGAAACCGAGAGAUCCAAGACAAGCACGAUAAUUGGAUCUAAACCCAAUAGAUCAAGUGGGUGUGUCUUUUGGUUUUCUAAGAAACUAAGAAGAACUACACAAAUAAGAGAUGACAUCAAUGAAAAAGAUGUGACAAAAGAGAUUUUGGAUCCAAUCUUUAAAAAUGAUCUUCGAUGAGUUAUUGAUUGAUAUAUUGUGAUUAAUUAAGAAUGUAAUUUAAUGUUUUGAGGUUAUUUGUAUUCAUCUUCACCACAUGGAUGAGCUGAUGAAUAAAUAUUACUUUUGUGCAAGUUUUGUAUGUUUAAUUUUAAUGAAAUGUGUCGCACUUUAAAGCAAAAUAAUUAUAAUUGAUGUAGUCACUUAAUUUAAUUUCAGGUAAAAAUUUAUUUUUUUAUUUAAUUUUUUCUUUUUAGUUUGAUCAUUUAUUUAACUUUAAGUAAUGAUUUAAUUAUUUACGUUUUAAAACGUCAAUAAUAUUAUCAUCUUUUAAAGAAACUUAGAAAAUUCAUGAUCAUAUUUAAAUAAAACUUCAAAAAUUAAUUAUCACCUUCAAAAAACUUAUAUUUUCAUCAUAUUUAACUACAAAAAAAUAAAAAAACAAACAAACAAUUGCGAUACUUAACUUUUAGUAAUAUCUCUUAAUUUGUCACUAUAGUUAUUUUUAUUUAUAGAGAGAGUGCCACUUAUUCUCUUUUAAUAUCAAUACAUCAUAAAUUAAUAAAAAUACUCAAAUAUUCACAUCCAAAAAAAAAUAUUCAUUUGUUCACCCAACAUCAAUUCACAAAAAUAAUGUAUUUGUUUAUUUUUUCAUUUCAAUCUCUAAAAUUGCUUUCUUUCCCAUUUCGAUCUCUAAAAUUGCUUUAUUUUCCAUUUUGAUCUCUGAAAUUGCUUUUUCCUAUUUCUUCUCAAAUUUGUCCAAUACACUACGCCGAAAAAUGACAUUUAACAGCGCCCAUUUUACAGCGCUUGCUAAACACAAGCGUUGUUGUAAUUAUAUUUUAAAAUUAACGGAACCUUUUAUAACGUUAUAAGGCUUUUACAGCGCUUAUCAAAAAAGCGCUGUAAAAGGAAGCGCUUUCGCGUAUCAGUUACAUCGCUUUUUUCACAAGCUGCUGUAAACACAUGCGCUUCCAAAUAUUUGAACUACCUAAUACAGCGCUUUUUUCACAAGCGCUGUAAAAUACAUACGCUUUCAUUGAAUUUAACUACCUAUUACAGCGCUUUUUUCACAAGCGCUGUAAAGUACAUGCGCUGUCAUUGAAUUUAACUACCUAAUACAGCGCUUUUUUCACAAGCGCUGUAAACUGCAUCUUUCAAAUAAUUAUAUACGUUGGAAACCCUCAUAUCCUCUACAUCUUUCAAAUAAUUAUAUACGUUGGGAACCCUAAUAUCCUCUACGUACUGUGCAGCCAUCUACGUUGUCUCAGGUAUUUUUUACAUAUGAUUUGUUAUGUUUUGUUAUAUAUAUAUAUUAAAUCUACUAAAAAUUGUUAUAUAUAUAUAUAUAUAUUAAAUCUCUUUUACACAUGAUCUGUUAUGUUUUGUUACAUAUAUAUUAAAUCUACUAAAAAUUGUUAUAUAUAUAUAUAUAUAUUAAAUCUCUUUUACACAUGAUCUGUUAUGUUUUGAAAUUGUCAAAAAUUGUCAAAAACUCAUACCACAUGAUCUGUUCUGUUUUGAAAUUGUUAGUUGAUAUUGGUUUCUUUUUGAAACUUGUUGAUAUGUUUUGAAAGCUUAUUAUUUUUGUUACUGCAUUUAUAUAGGUGGUAUAAUAUGGAUAGGAAAUGGAUUUCAGCCAAUCGAUUGUCAAAAGAGUAUGAAAUUGGAGUGAAGGAGUUUGUUGAGUUUGCAGUGAAGAAUGCAAAAGAUCCAAAUAGAGUAGUUUGUCCUUGUUUAAAAUGUUGUUUUGGAAAACGUGUUAGAGAAGAUGAAUUAGAAGGACAUCUAGUAUGUAAUGGAAUUGAUCAAAGCUACACAUGUUGGAUAAGACAUGGUGAGAAAAAAAAAGGAAACAUUAAUUUUGAGAAUAGUUCGACAUAUGCUUCAACUGACUUCGAUACAGAUACAUAUGAGCCGGACCGAGUUGAUGAGAUUGCAAAAGCAGUUGAAGAAGAUCUUCGAGAUUGUCCUAAAAUGUUUGAAAGUUUGUUGAGUGAUGCAGAGAAAGAAUUAUAUAAUGGUUGUACUAAAUUCACAAGACUGUCAGCGAUAUUAAAGUUGUACAACUUAAAAGCGAGUAAUGGAUGGUCUGAUAAAAGCUUUACAGAAUUAUUAACACUCAUAAAAGAUAUGUUGCCAGAUGAUAAUGAACUUCCCAGUCGAACCUACGAGGCUAAACGGAUUUUGUGUUCUAUUGGAAUGAGUUACGAAAGGAUUCAUGCGUGUCCUAACGAUUGCAUUUUAUUUCGAAACGAAUAUGAACUACUUAAGGCGUGUCCGAAAUGCAAUGUCUCUCGAUAUAAGAAGAAAGAAUCUACUCCAGCAAAAGUCGUGUGGUAUUUUCCUAUAAUACCAAGAUUUAGGCGCAUGUAUCGCAGUGAAGAAGAUUCAAAACACUUGACAUGGCAUGCAGAUGAAAGAAUUAGAGAUGGAAUGUUUCGACACCCUGCAGAUUCCCCACAAUGGGCAAAAAUUGAUCACGAGUAUCCUGAAUUCGGGAUAGAGUCAAGAAAUCUAAGACUUGCACUUUCUACUGAUGGAAUGAAUCCACAUGGUCUUCAAAGCAUCUCACAUAGCACGUGGCCUGUGAUUUUGGUAAUAUAUAACCUACCUCCAUGGUUAUGUAUGAAGCGUAAGUUUAUGAUGUUGUCUCUGUUAAUUUCUGGACCCAAACAACCGGGGAAUGAUAUCGACGUAUACUUGACUCCUCUAAUCGAAAAUUUAAAAAGUAUGUGGGAGACAGGUGUGGAAGUUUAUGAUGGGUAUAAGAAAGAAUGUUUCAAUUUGAGGGCUAUGUUGUUCGGCACAAUUAAUGAUUUUCCAGCAUAUGGUAAUUUAUCAGGAUAUAGCAUUAAAGGUCAGUGUGCAUGUCCUAUAUGUGAAGAGAGUACAAAUUGGAUGCGGUUGAAACAUUGUAAGAAGAAUGUGUUUCUUGGACAUCGUAGAUUUUUACCUUAUAGUCAUCAGUAUCGUGGGUGGAGAAAUGCAUUCAAUGGAAAAUCAGAGGAAGGUAAAGCUCCUUUAGCACCGACUGGAUAUCAAAUACUUGAAAAAGUACAAGGUUUGACCAAUAAAUUUGGCAAACCUUUUGCGGGAGAGCUGGUGAAAACUGGGUGGAAGAAAAAGUCAAUUUUCUUUGAAUUGCCAUAUUGGAAGUCAUUGUAUGUAAGACAUUUCCUCGAUGUGAUGCAUAUUGAGAAAAAUGUAUUUGAAAGUGUUAUUGGUACGUUACUCAAUGUUCCAGGAAAGUCUAAAGAUGGCGUCAAUGCAAGAUUGGACUUGGUCGAUAUGGGAAUAAGAAAUGAACUGGCUCCAGUAAAGAAAGGAAAUCGCACAUAUCUACCUCCAGCCGCUCAUACUCUAUCUAGAAAGGAAAAAAUUGUUUUAUGUAAAUUUCUACACGAAGUUAAAGUUCCAGAAGGAUACUCUUCGAACAUUAAAAAUUUGGUUUGUAUGAAAGACCUCAAGUUAAAAGGUUUGAAGACCCAUGAUUGUCAUAUUAUAAUGGAGCAUUUGCUACCAAUAGGUAUACGUUCCAUUUUACCUGAAAAAGUUCGACUAGCCUUAACUAGAUUAUGUUUCUUCUUCAGGGAAAUUUGUAGUAAAGUGAUCGACCCUCAGAAAUUACCGACAUUGCAGAGGGAAAUUGUUGUUACUUUGUGUGAGCUUGAAAUGUAUUUCCCACCAUCGUUUUUUGAUAUAAUGGUUCACCUUACUGUUCAUCUGGUUAAGGAGACACAACUUUGUGGGCCAGCUUAUAUGAGAUGGAUGUAUCCGAUAGAACGAUAUAUGAAAAUAUUAAAAGGGUACGUAAAAAGUAGAAGUCGACCAGAAGGUUGUAUUGCUGAACGAUACAUUGUUGAAGAGGCUGCUGAAUUUUGUACUGAAUAUCUGUCCAAUGUUGAAUCCAUAGGGCUUCCCAUGUCUCGUCAUUCGGGAAGACUAUCAGGAGAAGGGAUAACUGGAAGGAGACUACUGACUAUAUCAAGGACAGAAUGGGAGCAGGCACAAUUGUAUGUUCUGCACAAUGAUGAUGAGGUUCAACCGUAUGUUACAAUACACAUUGAUCAGUUAUCUCGUUUGAACAUGAAUAGGAAUCAAAAUUGGAUAACUCGAGAGCACAAUCGAAGUUUUGUAACAUGGUUAAAAAAUCACAUAAUGUCAAAAUUUGAUAUAGACCCCGGAUCAAUUUCAAAUAGAUUGAGGUGGCUAGCAAAUGGUCCGAGCUUACAUGUCUUUUCUUACACUGGUUAUGUUAUUAACGGCUACACAUUUUAUACCAAAGAACAAGAUGAUCAGACCACUAUGCAAAAUAGUGGAGUCACUCUCGUAGCUGAAGCGAUGCAUGUCUCAAGUGCAAAAGACAAAAACCCAAUAUAUGCAAAUCUAUCAUAUUUUGGGGUUAUCGAGCGCAUAUGGGAGUUAGACUACACAAUGUUUCGUGUUCCCAUAUUUGGUUGCAAGUGGGUCGAUAAUAAUAAUGGCGUUCGGAUUGAUGAGUCAGGAUUCUUGCUUGUCGAUUUUAAUAGGGUGGGAUACAAAGACGAGCCUUUUAUUUUAGCGUCGCAAGCUCAACAAGUGUUUUAUGUCACUGAUCCUUCUAAUGAUAAAUGGUCUGUUGUCCUAUCGACCAAUAAAAUAAGUGAUGAUAACAAUAAUGAUGAAGAUGUUGGUAAUGAUCUUUUAUUUGCAACAUCACAACAACCACAUGAAAUUGAUUCAACUGAUGAUGGUUUAUAUCUUAGAGAUGAUCAUGAUGAGGGAAUUUGGAUUAAUCCAUCGUUUCGUAUUGUAAAUGGACAAACAAAUGUGAAUGUCACCAGGAAAAGAAGAAGGGCAUCUUAAUGUAUAUAUAUGUUUAAUUGUUUUAUAUAAGCUAUGCAUGUAAUCUGAACUGUGUUAUUGUAAAUAUGCAUGUAAUCUGAAUUGAGUGUUUUAUACUAAGUUCUGAUUAAUUUAUUUUCUGAUUAAUUUAUUUUCUGCUUAUAUUUAGCUUGAUUUGAGUGUUUUAUACCAAGUUCAUGUAACAAUGAGUGUUUUAUAUUUAGCUUGAUUUACAUGAACUGAACUGAAUAUAAAUUAGUAAUUUACAUGAACUGAACUGAACUGAAUAGAGAGAUUCUCUUUUGCUCAGUGCAUAUAUAUAUAUAGAUUCUUCAGAAUACUCAUUUCUAAUAAUUCAUCAUCUCCUAAAGUAUUGUGAUAAAGACAAUGAUAACAAUAUUUUUAAUCCAAUAAACAAUGAUAAAAAUGUUUUUAAUGUCAUCCCAACCCAAAUAAACCAAACACAAAAAUAAAAUAAAGAGACAUUUUACAGCGCUUAUCUUAAAAAGCGCUGUAAAAGAUCCUUUUAAAAAUAAAAUAAUGAGUGUUUUAUACCUUUUACAGCGCUUUUCACACAAAGCGCUGUAAACGACUCUUUUGAAAGUGAGUAAAAAAGACAUUUUACAGCGCUUAUUUGACAAAGCGCUGUAAAAAAGCUUUAAAAAUAAUAUUCAUCAGACACCUAAUUUCUUCAAACACCUUGUACGCAUCAUGGGAAUCCAAAAAACAUCAGACACAAACCCAUUUCUUCAAACACCUUGUACGCAUCAUGGGAAUCCAAAAAACAUCAGACACAAACCCAUUUCUUCAAACACCUUGUACGCAUCAUGGGAAUCCCCAAAAACACCAGACACAAACCCAUUUUUCGCAACAUGGCAAUGAUCCUGAAUACCAAUUAAGUUUCGAUUUAAGAAGGAAAGAGAAUGUAAAGAGAUAAAAAGGGUGUUGAGGUGGAGAUUGAAUUGUGAAAGAGUAAGCUUUGAUGUUUGUGAAGAAGAUGCAUAAAAGGAGAAGAGUUUGGUGAAGAGGAAGGGAUUUUUGUGGUGACCAGUUACUACUAUGUGGGUUUUGCAUGCAUGUUGAGCUUGUUUAAAAAAUAACAUAACAUAACAAAACACAAAAACAAUAAGGCCUUUUACAGCGCUUAUUUGGAAAAAGCGCUGUAAAAGAGCCUUUUAAAAUUAACAUAAAGAGACAUUUUAGAGCGCUUAUGUGGAAAAGCGCUGUAAAAGGCUUUAAAAAACAUUCAUAUAACAUAAUAACACACGGAGGUCUUUUACAGCGCUUAUUUGGGAAAAGCGCUGUAAAAGAGCCUCUUAAAAUUAACAUAAAGAGACAUUUUAGAGCGCUUAUGUGUAAAAGCGCUGUAAAAGGCAUUCAAAUAACAUAAUAACACACGGAGGUCUUUUACAGCGCUUAUUUGAAAAAAGCGCUGUAAAAGAGCCUUUUAAAAAUUUAACUAAAGAAGCCUUUUAGAGCGCUUAUGUGUGAAAGCGCUGUAAAAGGCAUUCAUAUAACAUAAUAACACACGGAGGUCUUUUACAGCGCUUAUUUGAAAAAAGCGCUGUAAAAGAGCCUUUUAAAAAUUUAACUAAAGAAGCCUUUUAGAGCGCUUAUGUGUGAAAGCGCUGUAAAAGGCAUUCAUAUAACAUAAUAACACACGGAGGUCUUUUACAGCGCUUAUUUGAAAAAAGCGCUGUAAAAGGCAUUCAAAUAACAUAAUAACACACGGAGGUCUUUUACAGCGCUUAUUUGAAAAAAGCGCUGUAAAAGGCAUUCAAAUAACAUAAUAACACACGGAGGUCUUUUACAGCGCUUAUUUGAAAAAAGCGCUGUAAAAGAGCCUUUUAAAAAUUUAACUAAAGAAGCCUUUUAGAGCGCUUUACAAAAUAAGCGCUGUAAAAGGCUUAUAAAAAGCGCUGUAAAAGUGUUACGUAUAUAUAACAGUUACCUCUUCAGUUUCCUCUUCAUUACGUAACCUUCAUCUCAACCUUCAUUUCUUCUCUUCUUUUGCAAACCCUAUCAUCCCGUCCUUUACGAACCUUAUUUCCACGAUCAUCUCCUUCAUUUCGAACCUUAUUUCCAUCCAAGAUCAUCUCUCCCAUUUCACACAAUAUAUUUUCAUUGAAAUACGUAACCCUCAUUACGUAUUUCUUCAAACCGUAUUUCUGUGAACCAUAUUUCUGUGAACUUUCUGCAAACCCUCUUUUCUUUGCAUUUCGUCUUUCUUCGAACCAUCAUUAUUCAGGUAUUGAUGUUAUUAAAUUUUUGUAAUCAUUAGAAUGCAUGUUGAGCUUUUUUAAGAUAUACUGAUACAUGUUGAGUUUGUUUAUAAUAAUGCAUGAUCCAUGUUGAGCUUGUUGAUGUUAUACUAAAGUGCAUGUUGAACUUGUUGUAGUUAAAUGGAUACAAACAAAGAUUUAGAAGUUCAAAAUGAAGAAGUUGGCACCUCUAAGACUUACGAAAAAGAAGUCAAACGUGGUGCAACUAUCAUGCAAAGGGUGAUUAAAGCACGGAGCAGUGGCAUUAAAUUUGAGGUAUACUAUAUAUACUCUGUUUGCUGUGUGUUUUUUUAUCUUUUUUUAGGGUUUAGGGCAUGUACUUACUAUAUGAGUUUAUUAGGUUGGCUGGAACGAGAGUGGUCAGCCAGUUGACCCCAACAGCUCCAUGUUUGUAAGCUACAUUGGGGCUGUUGUUCGUCAAAAUGUCCCAAUAACAAUAGACAACUGGAGAGAUAAGGCGUUGAAGGAUGCCAAAGAUAUCAUCUGGAAUGACAUUCAAGUAAAUAUUUUGAUCUACUCUUUUGUCAUUUAUAAUUUUUUUUCUGUAAAAUACAUUACUUAUAAUUGUUUUCAUUGCAGACCACUUUUGUUCUUGAUGAGGAACGAAAGUCAUAUGUUUUGAGAGUUGCUGGGAAAAUCCAUCGUGGAUUUAGAUCCCAUCUCUCAAAUUUCUAUCUAAAAGAUAGAGAAGGAAACACAAAUGCUGAACCUCCAAAGAUAUAUCAACAUUAUAUAUCAAAGGAUGAAUGGAGUGCAUUUGUUUCCAAACGUUCUGACCCGGCGUUUGUCGUAAGUGAUUAAUUUAUUAGCAUUUGUGUUUUAUUAUUCAUAUUCGUAGCGUAUUUUAAAUUUUUACACAAUUGCUAUUUUUUUUUUAUAUAGAAUAUUAGUAAGGCAAAUCGCGAACGGGCAAGCAACCCAAAACACCCAUACAAGAAAUCACGUAUGGGAUAUGCACGCCUUGAACAAAAAAUUGUAAGUAAUUAAACAUCACUUGUAAUUUGUAUUAUAAACUAUAGUGUGUAACUAAUUUGUAUUAUUUUGUUUAUGAUUUUAACGAAUAGAGAAAAGACACCCAAGCCGAUCAACCCUUGGGUCGUCAUAUCUUAUGGAAGGAAGCGCGUGUUAACAAAGAAGGAGUGGUUGAUAAUGAAAAUGUCAAGAAAGUUGUAGAACUUUGUGUAAGUAUAUUAUCACUUUAAUAUUUUUUAAUAUUGUAUUUUAAAAAUGCUAUUGAACUUAUCUUUUUAAUGUUACAUGUAUUUUAGGAAACUAUUGAACAAAGUUCUGAAACUCAAGAGGGCAACAAGGAUACGUGCAGGGACAUUCUUGGGAAAGUGUUUAAUGUCCCUGAGUAUUCCGGUCGAGUGAGGGGGAAAGGAUUUGGCGUAACUCCCAAAAGCUUUUUUCCUCAAGAGAAGCGCCAAAAACCUUCCAACGAGGAAGUAUUAGAGAAGCUCAGAAUCUUAUCGGAGCAAGUGGCACUCUUGGUGAAUACGAAUAAAGACAAGCAACUUCCGGUUCAGCUCCAACCUGAAAUACAAAUGGAGAGUGAAACCGGGAGUUGCAACGUCGGUUUGAAGAGUAUUCCCGAGGUAAUUAAUUACUUACUACUUACUUGCUUAUGUAAUUACUUAUGUAUUAAACAAACUUAUAUAUUAACUGUACUUAUGUUUUAACUAUUGAUGUAGGGUGUCACUACAUGUGUCCUAUACUUGUCCUCGCCGACUCAACGGAAGGUGGGAAAAGGAAUAUUGCACAAUACUUCGGGAGAAGUAUUGCACAAUAUUCCGAUCCCCGCGGGCCAUGUCAAAGUAUCGCCUACGGUUGCUUUCGAACCAACUGCACCGUUGCCCAUACCGGACAACGAUGGAGAUAUGAAGUUCUUAAGCGACGCUAUUGGCAGUUACGUGGCAUGGCCCACACACCUUGUUGCCCUCGAAAAAAAGAUUCCCAAGGACAAAUCAGUUACAUCUCCCGAAAAGGUUUGUCACAUUUAUUGCCUAAGGUUUUUUAUUUUUUCAGAUUCAAUAAACUAACAUUUUACCUCAUUUUUGUAGGUCCAAAUAAAUAAACCACCCCUACAGCCAAAAAAAGGCAGCAGACCUCAAAAAUUGGAGGUUAAUAGGGCUGCCAAACUACAAAGGCUGGAGGGUAAUAAAGCUGCAAAACUUGCAGCAACAAAAAAUCUGGAUCGGGGAAAAUCGGUCGCUGCUGCUGCUGCUCCUAAUAAAAGUCAGCCACGCCUUGGUAAAUACGGGGCGUGUCUUGACAUCCAAAUAAAAAGGAACAUGGGCAGCAGCAACGAUUCGCCCAUUGUACAAAUGAAUCAAGACAUCUUUGGAGAUGAGUAUAUUGAAUACCUCGAAAAGGAGCAAAUGUACGAUCUUCUCGAACAUAAGGAGCUGAGUGUUACUGUAAUCAGCUUGUACAUAAGGUAAAAAAUACUUUUAAUUGCAUUUAUUUGUAAUUAAUUAAAUGUAUUGGUAAUUAAUCUAGUUUAAAAUUUUCAUUGAAGGUUUUUGUACGAGAAGGUCGUGUGCACGAGGAAACUGUCAAAUAAAUACUCAUUCUUGUCUCCGCAUAAGAUGUCGAUGUUCAAACUCGAUCCAGACAAUGUAAAACACUACAUUGUAGAUAUGUUUUUAAGAAAUAAAGAAAGUGAUAAAUUGUUCUUGGCACCAUAUAAUUCAGGGUACGUAAUUUUAUCUUUUUUAAUUGAUGAGAAUUUAAUUUAUUAGUUGUCUAUAAACAAAAUUGCUUAACCAAUUUUUUGUUGUUGUAGGGCACAUUGGGUGCUAUUUGCAAUCAAUGCGGUCUCUGAAGUGAUAUACUAUUUGGAUCCCGUGCACGGCGAUUACACCAAUCACCCCGGAAUAAAGAAUAUGCUCGACACGUAAGUAAUAUUCAUUUAUUUCUUACAUAUAUAUAUUUAUAUAUAUAUAUAUAUAAAUAUAUAUAUGUAAGAAAUAAAUGAAUAUUACUUACGUGUCGAGCAUAUUCUUUAUUCCGGGGUGAUUGGUGUAAUCGCCGUGCACGGGAUCCAAAUAGUAUAUCACUUCAGAGACCGCAUUGAUUGCAAAUAGCACCCAAUGUGCCCUACAACAACAAAAAAUUGGUUAAGCAAUUUUGUUUAUAGACAACUAAUAAAUUAAAUUCUCAUCAAUUAAAAAAGAUAAAAUUACGUACCCUGAAUUAUAUGGUGCCAAGAACAAUUUAUCACUUUCUUUAUUUCUUAAAAACAUAUCUACAAUGUAGUGUUUUACAUUGUCUGGAUCGAGUUUGAACAUCGACAUCUUAUGCGGAGACAAGAAUGAGUAUUUAUUUGACAGUUUCCUCGUGCACACGACCUUCUCGUACAAAAACCUUCAAUGAAAAUUUUAAACUAGAUUAAUUACCAAUACAUUUAAUUAAUUACAAAUAAAUGCAAUUAAAAGUAUUUUUUACCUUAUGUACAAGCUGAUUACAGUAACACUCAGCUCCUUAUGUUCGAGAAGAUCGUACAUUUGCUCCUUUUCGAGGUACUCAAUAUACUCAUCUCCAAAGAUGUCUUGAUUCAUUUGUACAAUGGGCGAAUCGUUGCUGCUGCCCAUGUUCCUUUUUAUUUGGAUGUCAAGACACGCCCCGUAUUUACCAAGGCGUGGCUGACUUUUAUUAGGAGCAGCAGCAGCAGCGACCGAUUUUCCCCGAUCCAGAUUUUUUGUUGCUGCAAGUUUUGCAGCUUUAUUACCCUCCAGCCUUUGUAGUUUGGCAGCCCUAUUAACCUCCAAUUUUUGAGGUCUGCUGCCUUUUUUUGGCUGUAGGGGUGGUUUAUUUAUUUGGACCUACAAAAAUGAGGUAAAAUGUUAGUUUAUUGAAUCUGAAAAAAUAAAAAACCUUAGGCAAUAAAUGUGACAAACCUUUUCGGGAGAUGUAACUGAUUUGUCCUUGGGAAUCUUUUUUUCGAGGGCAACAAGGUGUGUGGGCCAUGCCACGUAACUGCCAAUAGCGUCGCUUAAGAACUUCAUAUCUCCAUCGUUGUCCGGUAUGGGCAACGGUGCAGUUGGUUCGAAAGCAACCGUAGGCGAUACUUUGACAUGGCCCGCGGGGAUCGGAAUAUUGUGCAAUACUUCUCCCGAAGUAUUGUACAAUAUUCCUUUUCCCACCUUCCGUUGAGUCGGCGAGGACAAGUAUAGGACACAUGUAGUGACACCCUACAUCAAUAGUUAAAACAUAAGUACAGUUAAUAUAUAAGUUUGUUUAAUACAUAAGUAAUUACAUAAGCAAGUAAGUAGUAAGUAAUUAAUUACCUCGGGAAUACUCUUCAAACCGACGUUGCAACUCCCGGUUUCACUCUCCAUUUGUAUUUCAGGUUGGAGCUGAACCGGAAGUUGCUUGUCUUUAUUCGUAUUCACCAAGAGUGCCACUUGCUCCGAUAAGAUUCUGAGCUUCUCUAAUACUUCCUCGUUGGAAGGUUUUUGGCGCUUCUCUUGAGGAAAAAAGCUUUUGGGAGUUACGCCAAAUCCUUUCCCCCUCACUCGACCGGAAUACUCAGGGACAUUAAACACUUUCCCAAGAAUGUCCCUGCACGUAUCCUUGUUGCCCUCUUGAGUUUCAGAACUUUGUUCAAUAGUUUCCUAAAAUACAUGUAACAUUAAAAAGAUAAGUUCAAUAGCAUUUUUAAAAUACAAUAUUAAAAAAUAUUAAAGUGAUAAUAUACUUACACAAAGUUCUACAACUUUCUUGACAUUUUCAUUAUCAACCACUCCUUCUUUGUUAACACGCGCUUCCUUCCAUAAGAUAUGACGACCCAAGGGUUGAUCGGCUUGGGUGUCUUUUCUCUAUUCGUUAAAAUCAUAAACAAAAUAAUACAAAUUAGUUACACACUAUAGUUUAUAAUACAAAUUACUUCAUUAUAUAAAAGUGAUGUUUAAUUACUUACAAUUUGUUGUUCAAGGCGUGCAUAUCCCAUACGUGAUUUCUUGUAUGGGUGUUUUGGGUUGCUUGCCCGUUCGCGAUUUGCCUUACUAAUAUUCUAUAUAAAAAAAAAAUAGCAAUUGUGUAAAAAUUUAAAAUACGCUACGAAUAUGAAUAAUAAAACACAAAUGCUAAUAAAUUAAUAACUUACGACAAACGCCGGGUCAGAACGUUUGGAAACAAAUGCACUCCAUUCAUCCUUUGAUAUAUAAUGUUGAUAUAUCUUUGGAGGUUCAGCAUUUGUGUUUCCUUCUCUAUCUUUUAGAUAGAAAUUUGAGAGAUGGGAUCUAAAUCCACGAUGGAUUUUCCCAGCAACUCUCAAAACAUAUGACUUUCGUUCCUCAUCAAGAACAAAAGUGGUCUGCAAUGAAAACAAUUAUAAGUAAUGUAUUUUACAGAAAAAAAAUUAUAAAUGACAAAAGAGUAGAUCAAAAUAUUUACUUGAAUGUCAUUCCAGAUGAUAUCUUUGGCAUCCUUCAACGCCUUAUCUCUCCAGUUGUCUAUUGUUAUUGGGACAUUUUGACGAACAACAGCCCCAAUGUAGCUUACAAACAUGGAGCUGUUGGGGUCAACUGGCUGACCACUCUCGUUCCAGCCAACCUAAUAAACUCAUAUAGUAAGUACAUGCCCUAAACCCUAAAAAAAGAUAAAAAAACACACAGCAAACAGAGUAUAUAUAGUAUACCUCAAAUUUAAUGCCAUUACUCCUUGCUUUAAUGACUUUCUGCAUGAUAGUUGCACCACGUUUGACUUCUUUUUCGUAAGUCUUAGAGGUGCCAACUUCUUCAUUUUGAACUUCUAAAUCUUUGUUUGUAUCCAUUUAACUACAACAAGUUCAACAUGCACUUUAGUAUAACAUCAACAAGCUCAACAUGGAUCAUGCAUUAUUAUAAACAAACUCAACAUGUAUCAGUAUAUCUUAAAAAAGCUCAACAUGCAUUCUAAUGAUUACAAAAAUUUAAUAACAUCAAUACCUGAAUAAUGAUGGUUCGAAGAAAGACGAAAUGCAAAGAAAAGAGGGUUUGCAGAAAGUUCACAGAAAUAUGGUUCACAGAAAUACGGUUUGAAGAAAUACGUAAUGAGGGUUACGUAUUUCAAUGAAAAUAUAUUGUGUGAAAUGGGAGAGAUGAUCUUGGAUGGAAAUAAGGUUCGAAAUGAAGGAGAUGAUCGUGGAAAUAAGGUUCGUAAAGGACGGGAUGAUAGGGUUUGCAAAAGAAGAGAAGAAAUGAAGGUUGAGAUGAAGGUUACGUAAUGAAGAGGAAACUGAAGAGGUAACUGUUAUAUAUACGUAACACUUUUACAGCGCUUUUUAUAAGCCUUUUUACAGCGCUUUUUUUGUAAAGCGCUCUAAAAGGCUUCUUUAGUUAAAUUCUUAAAAGGCUCUUUUACAGCGCUUUUGACAAAUAAGCGCUGUAAAAGACCUCCGUGUGUUAUUAUGUUAUUUGAAUGCCUUUUACGCCUUUUACAGCGCUUUUGUCAAAUAAGCGCUGUAAAAGACCUCCGUGUGUUAUUAUGUUAUUUGAAUGUUUUUUAAAGCCUUUUACAGCGCUUUUUACACAUAAGCGCUCUAAAAUGUCUCUUUAUGUUAAUUUUAAGAGGCUCUUUUACAGCGCUUUUUCCAAAUAAGCGCUGUAAAAGACCUCCGUGUGUUAUUAUGUUAUAUUAAUGUUUUUUAAAGCCUUUUACAGCGCUUUUUACACAUAAGCGCUCUAAAAUGUCUCUUUAUGUUAAUUUUAAGAGGCUCUUUUACAGCGCUUUUUCCAAAUAAGCGCUGUAAAAGACCUCCGUGUGUUAUUAUGUUAUAUUAAUGUUUUUUAAAGCCUUUUACAGCGCUUUUCCACAUAAGCGCUCUAAAAUGUCUCUUUAGGUUAAUUUUAGAAGGCUCUUUUACAGCGCUUUUUCCAAAUAAGCGCUGUAAAAGACCUCCGUGUGUUAUUAUGUUAUAUUAAUGUUUUUUAAAGCCUUUUACAGCGCUUUUCCACAUAAGCGCUCUAAAAUGUCUCUUUAGGUUAAUUUUAGAAGGCUCAACAUGCAAAACCCACAUAGUAGUAACUGGUCACCACCAAAAUCCCUUCAUCUUCACCAAACUCUUCUCCUUUUAUGCAUCUUCUUCACAAACAUCAAAGCUUACUCUUUCACAAUUCAAUCUCCACCUCAACACCCUUUUUAUCUCUUUACAUUCUCUUUCCUUCUUAAAUCGAAACUUGGUAUUCAGGAUCAUUGCCAUGUUGCGAAAAAUGGGUUUGUGUCUGAUGUUUUUGUUAACAAUGUGUUUUUGGGUAUUCCCAUGAUGCGUACAAGGUGUUUGAUGAAAUGGGUUAAUGUCUGAUGUUUUUUGGAUUCCCAUGAUGCGUACAAUGUGUUUGAAGAAAUGGGUUUGUGUCUGAUGUUUUUUGAAUCCCAUGAUGCGUACAAGGUGUUUGAAGAAAUUAGGUGUCUGAUGAAUAUUAUUUUUAAAGCCAUUUGACAGCGCUUUGGCAAACAAGCGCUGUAAAAUGUCUUUUUUACUCACUUUCAAAAGAGUCGUUUACAGCGCUUUGUGUGGAAAGCGCUGUAAAAGGUAUAACACACUCAUUAUUUUAUUUUUAAAAUGAUCGUUUACAGCGCUUUUUCCAAAUAAGCGCUGUAAAAGACCUCCGUGUGUUAUUAUGUUAUUAUGUAUCUUUUAGGUUAAUUUUAGAAGGCUCUUUUACAGCGCUUUUUCCAAAUAAGCGCUAUUAUUGUUUUUGUGUUUUGUUAUGUUAUUUUUUAAACAAGCUCAACAUGCAAAACCCACAUAGUAGUAACUGGUCACCACCAAAAUCCCUUCCUCUUCACCAAACUCAUGUGUUUUGUUUUAUUGUUUUAUUUUAUUUUUGUGUUUGGUUUAUUUGGGUUGGGAUGACAUUAAAAACCUUUUUAUCAGUUCAGUUCAGAAAAUAAAUUAAUCAGAACUUAGUAUAAAACACUCAAUUCAGAUUACAUGCAUGAAUUAUUAGAAAUGAGAAUCUCUCUAUUCAGUUCAGUUCAGUUCAGUUCAGAAAAUAAAUUAAUCAGAACUUAGUAUAAAACACUCAAUUCAGAUUACAUGCAUGAAUUAUUAGAAAUGACAAUGAGAAUCUCUCUGUACAGUUCAGUUCAGUUCAGUUCAGAAAAUAAAUUAAUCAGAACUUAGUAUAAAACACUCAAUUCAGAUUACAUGCAUAUUUACAAUAACACAGUUCAGAUUACAUGCAUAGCUUAUAUAAAACAAUUAAACAUAUACAUUAAGAUGCCCUUCUUCUUUUCCUGGUGACAUUCACAUUUGUUUGUCCAUUUACAAUACGAAACGAUGGAUUAAUCCAAAUUCCCUCAUCAUGAUCAUCUCUAAGAUAUAAACCAUCAUCAGUUGAAUCAAUUUCAUGUGGUUGUUGUGAUGUUGCAAAUAAAAGAUCAUUACCAACAUCUUCAUCAUUAUUGUUAUCAUCACUUAUUUUAUUGGUCGAUAGGACAACAGACCAUUUAUCAUUAGAAGGAUCAGUGACAUAAAACACUUGUUGAGCUUGCGACGCUAAAAUAAAAGGCUCGUCUUUGUAUCCCACCCUAUUAAAGAAGGAGCCCUUACCUCAACGUUAGCUUUAACGGGCGUUUCCGGUACCGCGAGUAAUUCCGGUAAAAUCCCCGCUCGCAACGCCGCUUCCAAAUUAGUUCACUAGCACCGUAGCGUGGUGGUGAACAAUUUUCCCUUCUAUCUCUUCGAGAAAUGAGGUUUGGAUCUAGAAGAAACGAAGGGGUUUGUGUUUGGAUCUCAAAAACCGUUUUUCUUGGGUUUGUGUUUGGAUCUCAAAAAACUGUUUUUCUUCGAUUUCGAAUCAAAGAGGAAGAGUGGAGUUGCAAAAACCUUGAUCUAACUCUCACCCAACCUUGGGUUACUAGUUUUGAAGAAAAGAAAGUGUCGAAAACGAAAAAUGGAGGAGGGGGGAUUUCUUGGGCGUGGAGUGUCCGAGGAAGAAGAUGGAAAUUUUAUGAAUUUCCUUCCUUUCUUUUUCUUUCCUUUGUUUUUCCUUUCUUCCUUUUUCCUUCUUUCCUUUAUAUACUCUUUUCUUUUCCUUUUCCUUCCUUCUAGUUUUCCUUUCUUUUUCCCUCCAAACAAACACAUAUAUAUAUAAUAAACAUAACUUAACAAAUAUCUCAAAAUAUCUAGAUAUUUGUUAAAUUACCAUUUCACCCUAAACGCAAUAAUUUCUCCGUAAAGGAUUCACCGCAGUUAAUUUCAAUUUAUUUAUCGAUGAGAAAUUUUAAUCGGCAUUAAAAUAUCUUUUUGAUUAUAUAACUCUAAAAUAUCAUUAACUUUGGAUUAAAAGCCUCCGAGCCAAAAUCCAAAAUACACCAAAAAUACAUAAAUGGUACUUCAAAAAUAUGGGUCUUACAUUUGUCGUAAGUGAUUAAUUUAUUAGCAUUUGUGUUUUAUUAUUCAUAUUUGUAGCGUAUUUUAACUUUUUACACAAUUGCUAUUUUUUUAUAUAGAAUAUUAGUAAGGCCAAUUGCGAACAGGCAAGCAAUCCAAAACACCCAUACAAGAAAUCACGUAUAUGCACGCAUUGAACAACAACUUGUAAGUAAUUAAACAUCACUUUUAUAUAAUGAAGUAAUUUGUAUUAUAAACUAUAGUGUGUAACUAAUUUGUAUUAUUUUGUUUAUGAUUUUAACGAAUAGAGAAAAGACACCCAAGCCGAUCAACCCUUGGGUCGUCAUAUAUUAUGGAAGGAAGCGCGUGUUAAUAAAGAAGGAGUGGUUGAUAAUGAAAAUGUCAAAAAAGUUGUAGAACUUUGUGUAAGUAUAUUAUCACUUUAAUAUUUUUUAAUAUUGUAUUUUAAAAAUGCUAUUGAACUUAUCUUUUUAAUGUUACAUGUAUUUUAGGAAAUUAUUGAACAAAGUUCUGAAACUCAAGAGGGCAACAAGGAUACUUGCAGGGACAUUCUUGGGAAAGUGUUUAAUGUCCCUGAGUAUUCCGGUCGAGUUAGGGGGAAAGGAUUUGGCGUAACUCCCAAAAGCUUUUUUCCUCAAGAGAAGCGCCAAAAACCUUCCAACGAGGAAGUAUUAGAGAAGCUCAGAAUCCUAUCGGAGCAAGUGGCACUCUUGGUGAAUACGAAUAAAGACAAGCAACUUCCGGUUCAGCUCCAACCUGAAAUACAAAUGGAGAGUGAAACCGGGAGUUGCAACGUCGGUUUGAAGAGUAUUCCCGAGGUAAUUAAUUACUUACUACUUACUUGCUUAUGUAAUUACUUAUGUAUUAAACAAACUUAUAUAUUAACUGUACUUAUGUUUUAACUAUUGAUGUAGGGUGUCACUACAUGUGUCCUAUACUUGUCCUCGCCGACUCAACGGAAGGUGGGAAAAGGAAUAUUGCACAAUACUUCGGGAGAAGUAUUGCACAAUAUUCCGAUCCCCGCGGGCCAUGUCAAAGUAUCGCCUACGGUUGCUUUCGAACCAACUGCACCGUUGCCCAUACCGGACAACGAUGGAGAUAUGAAGUUCUUAAGCGACGCUAUUGGCAGUUACGUGGCAUGGCCCACACACCUUGUUGCCCUCCAAAAAAAGAUUCCCAAGGACAAAUCAGUUACAUCUCCCGAAAAGGUUUGUCACAUUUAUUGCCUAAGGUUUUUCAUUUUUUCAGAUUCAAUAAACUAACAUUUUACCUCAUUUUUGUAGGUCCAAAUAAAUAAACCACCCCUACAGCCAAAAAAAGGCAGCAAACCUCAAAAAUUGGAGGUUAAUAGGGCUGCCAAACUACAAAGGCUGGAGGGUAAUAAAGCUGCCAAACUUGCAGCAACAAAAAAUCUGGAUCGGGGAAAAUCGGUCGCUGCUGCUGCUGCUCCUAAUAAAAGUCAGCCACGCCUUGGUAAAUACGGGGCGUGUCUUGACAUCCAAAUAAAAAGGAACAUGGGCAGCAGCAACGAUUCGCCCAUCGUACAAAUGAAUAAAGACAUCUUUGGAGAUGAGUAUAUUGAAUACCUCGAAAAGGAGCAAAUGUACGAACUUCUCGAACAUAAGGAGCUGAGUGCUACUGUAAUCAGCUUGUACAUAAGGUAAAAAAUACUUUUAAUUGCAUUUAUUUGUAAUUAAUUAAAUGUAUUGGUAAUUAAUCUAGUUUAAAAUUUUCAUUGAAGGUUUUUGUACGAGAAGGUCGUGUGCACGAGGAAACUGUCAAAUAAAUACUCAUUCUUGUCUCCGCAUAAGAUGUCGAUGUUCAAACUCGAUCCAGACAAUGUAAAACACUACAUUGUAGAUAUGUUUUUAAGAAAUAAAGAAAGUGAUAAAUUGUUCUUGGCACCAUAUAAUUCAGGGUACGUAAUUUUAUCUUUUUUAAUUGAUGAGAAUUUAAUUUAUUAGUUGUCUAUAAACAAAAUUGCUUAACCAAUUUUUUGUUGUUGUAGGGCACAUUGGGUGCUAUUUGCAAUCAAUGCGGUCUCUGAAGUGAUAUACUAUUUGGAUCCCGUGCACGGCGAUUACACCAAUCACCCCAGAAUAAAGAAUAUGCUCGACACGUAAGUAAUAUUCAUUUAUUUCUUAUAUAUAUAUAUAUAUAUAUAUAAAUAUAUAUAUGUAAGAAAUAAAUGAAUAUUACUUACGUGUCGAGCAUAUUCUUUAUUCCGGGGUGAUUGGUGUAAUCGCCGUGCACGGGAUCCAAAUAGUAUAUCACUUCAGAGACCGCAUAGCUUGCUGCUGGGCAAGGGAUCUGAAUAUUAUAUGGUAGCUAGUGCAUAUAAUGUAUAUUCUGUUAGUUAUUAUAUGUAAAUGAUCAUAGGACACAAUAUAUGAACAUGCAUAUGGAUCUGAAUGUAGUUUAGGUUGUAAAUUAGGUUAUAUAUAUAUACGUAUCUGAAUGUAGUUAAUUAGGUUGUAAAUUAGGUUGUAUAUAUGUACAGAGUUACAGAGUUACAUAUAUGUUAAUAAAGUUACAAAGUUCUGAUUUCUGUUCUACUGAUUGUGUGAACUGCUUAUGGUAUUUGAAUAUGUUUUGUUGUUGUGUGCACUGAUUGUGAAGUGAUUUUGGAUCAAAAUAAUUUUGGAUACAAAGAUAAAAGACAGCGCUUUCUAAAAAAAAUGCCAUAAAAAGCUAAAAAGCGCUUUUCAUUUCAAAUAAUUAAUUUACAGCGUUUAAAAAAAAAACACACACACACACAUUUUACAGCGCUUUUUUUAAAAAGCGCUGUAAAAUGUUGUUGUAAAGCGCUUUAAUGGUGCACAUUUUACAGCGCUUUCGUGAGAAAGCGCUGUAAAAUGUACAACAAAAGCGCUGUCAAAUGCACACCCAUAAUAAGAAAUUAUGGGUGGGCAUUUUACAACGCUUUUUUGAGAAAGCGCUAUAAAAUGCAGACCCAUAAUAUGAAAAUUAUGGGUGGGCAUUUUACAGCGCUUUGUUGAGAAAGCGAUGUAAAAUGCACACCCAUAUAUGAAAUUAUGGAUGGGCAUUUUACAGCGCUUUCUUGAGAAAGCGCUGUAAAAUGCAGACCCAUAAUAUGAAAAUUAUGGGUGCGCAUUUUACCGCGCUUGUGUUAAAAAGCGUUCUAAAAGCAGACCCAUAACUCAUAUAAUGGGGUGCAUAUGACAGCACAUUUUUGAAGAAGCGCUGUAAAAUGUGCAUAACAAGCGCGCGAUAUAUUUACAUGUUUUAUAGCGCUUUCUUAAAAGCGCUGUUGUAUCAUUUACAGCGCUCGAUUCCACAACGCUUAUUUUUUUGAAAAAGCGCUGUAAAUGGCUUAAAAAAAGCGCUGUAAAAUGCGUUUUUUCGCGUAGUGAAUAGGUCGAGAAAUUAUUAACGCUCUCAAAUAUUUUUUCCUAUUUCAUUUAAAAAAUUAUCAAAGCUUUUUCCAGAUUUCUUCAUUGAUUUUUUGGAUUCCUUCUUCAAUCGAUUCCACUAAUCUCCUCUUCAAUACGGAUUCAUCUUAAAUCUUGUUCUUGUAAUCGGAUUUCUCUUACAAUUCGCGAUUUACGAUUCAGAGUCAGCAAUUCAAAUUCAGCAAUUGAGGAAUUCACGAAUAAUUGAAUUAGCGAUUUUCAUUGGUUGGAUGAUUUGAUUGAUUUUAGUAUUUUAUAUUUUAAAACUGAUUUGAAGUUCUUCUAUUUUCAUAUUCAUAGAAAAAAUACUAAUAGAGCAAAAAAACAGAUAUGGAAUUUCUCAUUUUCAAGCUUAUGUUUGAUUGAAGGAUUUUGUUGAAAUGGUAUCAUGUAAUUUUUUUUUAACAUGUGUUUUCCUUCAAUGAUGUUGUACAAUAGAUCUUUUGUAAUUCAUUUAAAGUUUGUUGCUAUGAUUAAUAGCCGGUAUUCUGGUUUCAUUUAUUGAACUUCUGCUUGGUAUUUUAGUUGAACUUCUUCUAGGAUCAUGACUUUUAAUUUAUUGAACUUCUAUUUGGUAAUUUGUUUGUUUCCAUAAUAAAUUGAAAUAUAAAUACCUCUAAAUUGUUAUUAGUAUUUUUAAGUAUAAUUCUACUGUGUUAAAAUGGCAAUCUAAUUUAUUGACAAAUAUGGUAGUCUCUUUUCAAGUUGAAUUGUAAGAGACAAAUGUGUAUGAUAUGUGAUUUGACUGAGACUAUCGAAUGGUUUCCUUUGCUAAUUAUGGUUACUUAAAGUGUAGUGGUUGAUUGUAGGUUUGGUUGUAGACAUUGUAAUUGUUGUUGGUCCGGCCUUAGCAGCAAUAUGAUUUACUUGAUAUGUGCUCAAAUCUAAGAUAUGCAGUUUUUGUGAGACUCGGUCAUUAGUAGCUGUCUUAUACAUUAUUUCAAACUUUUCUUGUUUGGAUUACAUAACUGAUGUACAUCUUGCACUACUUUUGUCACUGAGAGGAAGUGACUGAUAUUUCACAACUACUUCCAAUAACCUUCAAUCAAUUUCAAGCACUAUUUCAGAAAAUUCCUCAAAUCCAAGUUGGUAAAUGGGAGAUAUGGUUGUGUUGAGGCUGAUUGGUGGAAGAAGGUAGCGGUAGAUUUAUAUUUGAGAGAGGAAGUUGAGACGGUCACGAAUUUGUACUCUUAUUGUCAUCCUUCCACAUUUUCCAAUUUGUUAUUAGAUUGUGGUUCACAGCUUCUAAUUCUCCUUUUGAAGCAAAAAUGAGUAAUGGCGAAAAAGACAAAGAAAUGGGAGCGUGUUCAGUUGUAGUUGAAAAAGUAGGAGGUAGAUCAUUACACCCAAAAAGGUUUUGUUUUUCAACAAUUAUCAUUUAUUUUUCAUCAAUCAUGUUUCAUCUUCAGUGCAUAUUAUAUUAUGGAGUGAUUAUUAGUAUUGGUUCAAAAAUAUUAGCUUGACAAAUUCGCAUGAUAAAAUGGUUUUCUCUAUUCAUUUCUUUAUUUAAUUAUAUAUAUUUUUUAUUGUGUGACAAAGUUUAAGGAGAUGAUUUAUCAAAUCUGAAGUAUUUCUCAGAAGCAAGUGUUGCAAGAUAAUGAAUAAUGGAAAUGAUAGAGUUUCAAAAAUAAAUUCGAAAAAUAUGGAAGGAGAGAUUUUAGAGAAAGUGUGUUAGGAUAAGUUGAAUUUAAGAAUGUUGACUUUGUGCAUCUAUCAAGGCCAAAAAGUGUGAUCCUAAAUGAUUUUUGUCCAAAAGUUUCGUCAAGUAAAAUAUUGGCAUAUUAGUUAGAGGAAGUGGUUAUGGAAAAUCAACUAUUAUAUCACUUUUGCAAAGAUUUUAUGAUCUAAUUAGUGGAUAAAUAUUUGUUGAUGAAAUUUCUAUUCAUAAGUUUCUAAUGCUCAUAACUUCAUUUUAAUAUUGCCACAAGGAUAUGAUAUUCAUGUUAGUGCUAUAAUUAAAAUGCUAGGAAAGCAAGUAACAUGCAUUUAAUGGAAUUAGUAAAAUUAAAUUAUAGUUAAUAAAAAAAAUUAGAAAUUUAAAUUUAAUUUAGUUGUACUAAUAAUUUAAAAUUACAAUUAAUAAUAAGAUAAAAUAAAUUUAAUUUAAUAAAUAAUAAUAAUAAGUUUUAGUGACAGAAAAUAUUGUAUGAAUAGAUCAUGUCUUUAAUUAUAUUUAUCUAAUUUUUAAUGACAAUCAUUAUAGUAGGUAGAAAUCAAAAACAUGUAGCGACGGUCUCCGAAACAUGUAGUGACAGUCCUCAAAACAUAGCAAAACACCCUUUUAAAGUUGACGCGGAUCCGGGUGUUACUCAAAGUAUUUUUGACAUUUACCUAUGACUUUUAGUGACAAACUUUGUCUGUCUCUAGAAGUCAAUUUCUUUGUAAUAUUCAUAACUCAAAUCUUCAAAUAAACUCAUACUUCUAUCUCCAACUACAAUAACAACAUCAAAUCCAACAAAUAAAGAACUAACAUUUUAAGAUUUAGUUUAGGGAUUUGAUUUAAAGAAGAAUAGAAACAAGAAAAAUAUAUUGUCUUGGUGAUUUGGGGAUCAAAUCUAAGCUUUAUUUGAUGGAUUUGAUGUUGAUGUUGUUGUUAUUGGAGAUGAAGAUAUGAGUUUAUUUGAAAAUAUGAAUUAUGGAUUUGAUAAUGAAUUUUCUGAGUUUUGUUUGAAGAUAAAGAUGAACUUUCUGGGUUUAUUUAAAAAUAGGAUAACAUUAUUAACAUAUUAAGACAUAAAUAAUCAAAUCGUUACUUAAAAUUAAAUAAAUGAUCAAAUUAUAAAAAAAGAAGAUAAGUAAUCGAAUUGUUAACUAAAAUUAAAUUAAGGAAUCAAAAGAGAGAUAUUUUUCCUAUCUUUAAUUAAAUUAAGGGAUUGAGGUGACACUACUAAUUUCAAUUAUUUAUUGUCAUUUAAGUUAUAAAUGGAUAACAACAUGUGAUCAUGUAAGAUGAAAUGAUUUUAUAUACUCUAUUGCACUAGACAAGUGUGAAUGAAAUAUUGAAAUUGACAUCAUCUUGAACUCUAAUAUUUAUAUUCUCAUCAAGAUGUUCAAAAAUUGAAAACAUUGGAAAUCAACUAGCUACAAAUAUCUCCUAUUAGUACAGUUAAAUUCGGCUACAAUAUAAACAAAAAAUGUUCACACUACGCGAAAAAACGGAUUUUACAGCGCUUUUUUUAAGCCAUUUACAGCGCUUUUUCAAAAAAAUAAGUGCUGUGGAAACGAGCGCUGUAAAUGAUACAACAGCGCUUUUAAAAAAGCGCUAUAAAACAUGUAAAUACAACGCGCGCUUGUUAUGCACAUUUUACAGCGCUUCUUCACAAAAAGCGCUGUAAUAUGCACCCCAUUAUAUGAGUUAUGAGUGUGCAUUUUACAGCGCUUUCUCAACAAAGCGCUCUAAAACGCACACCCAUAACUCAUAUAUGGGUGGGCAUAUUACAGCGCUUUCUCACAAAAGCGCUGUAAUAUGCCCACCCAUAAUUUCAUAUAUGGGUGUGCAUAUUACAGCGCUUUCUCAAAAAAGCGCUGUAAAAUGCCCACACAUAAUUUCAUAUUAUGGGUCUGCAUUUUACAGCGCUUUUCUUGUACAUUUUACAGCGCUUUCUCACGAAAGCACUGUAAAAGGUGCACCAUUAAAGCGCUUUAGAACAACAUUUUACAGCGCUUUUUAAAAAAAGCGCUGUAAAAUGUGUGUGUGUGUGUGUUUUUUUUUUUUAAACGCUGUAAAUUAAUUAUUUGAAAUGAAAAGCGCUUUUUAGCUUUUUAUGGCAUUUUUUUUAAAAAGCGCUGUCUUUUAUCUUUGUAUCCAAAAUUAUUUUUGACCAAAAUCACUUCACAAUCAGUGCACACAACAACAAAACAUAUUCAAAUACCAUAAGCAGUUCACACAAUCAGUAGAACAGAAAUCAGAACUCUGUAACUUUAUUAACAUAUAUGUAACUCUGUAAUUUACAACCUAAGUAACUACAUUCAGAUACAUAUAUACAACCUAAUUUACAACCUAAUUACCUACAUUCAGAUCCAUUAUAUAAUAACUAACAGAUCCAUUAUAUGCAUAUAUUGUGUCCUAUGAUCAUUUACAUAUAAUAACUAACAGAAUAUACAUUAUAUGCACUAGCUACCAUAUAAUAUUCAGAUCCCUUGCCCAGCAGCAAGCUAUUUCCCAGAAAAUCAAAUAAUUUUCAUGUCAAGCACGUACUGACACCAUUCUUCCUUUAAUUCCAUCAGAUCUUCCUCAGAAUAUGAUGGACUGGAAUUGGCAAAGUACUGCAAUAUAAAAAUUGAACAUAUUAUAUUAAGUUAGUAUCAAAUAUAUAGAUAAUUUAUAUAUGAAAAUCAUAUAAUGCAAAUACCGUACCGUUUCUGGGAUAAUAGUUUUAUUCUUCUCAACAAUCUCCUUCAUGAAUCUCAAUAUGUAGUACCCACAGUCGAUGUUAUUUGUUUGACGAGGGCACUUUAUUGAGAUCCAUGUAAUGUUAUUAGACUUCUGCUUCGACACUUUAGCACCUCUUUGAGCUCGAUAAACUUUUAAGGCACUAUCGAAUGAAUAAAUGUGAUUAUUAGAGCAUGAAUAUUUAAAUAUAUAUAUAUGUAAGAAAUAAAUGAAUAUUACUUACGUGUCGAGCAUAGUCUUUAUUCCGGGGUGAUUGGUGUAAUCGCCGUGCACGGGAUCCAAAUAGUAUAUCACUUCAGAGACCGCAUUGAUUGCAAAUAGCACCCAAUGUGCCCUACAACAACAAAAAAUUGGUUAAGCAAUUUUGUUUAUAGACAACUAAUAAAUUAAAUUCUCAUCAAUUAAAAAAGAUAAAAUUACGUACCCUGAAUUAUAUGGUGCCAAGAACAAUUUAUCACUUUCUUUAUUUCCUAAAAACAUAUCUACAAUGUAGUUUUUUACAUUCUCUGGAUCGAGUUUCCACAUCGACAUCUUAUGUGGAGACAAGAAUGAGUAUUUAUUUGACAGUUUCCUCGUGCACACGACCUUCUCGUACAAAAACCUUCAAUGAAAAUUUUAAACUAGAUUAAUUACCAAUACAUUUAAUUAAUUACAAAUAAAUGCAAUUAAAAGUAUUUUUUACCUUAUGUACAAGCUGAUUACAGUAACACUCAGCUCCUUAUGUUCGAGAAGUUCGUACAUGUGCUCCUUUUCGAGGUAUUCAAUAUACUCAUCUCCAAAGAUGUCUUGAUUCAUUUGUACAAUGGGCGAAUCGUUGCUGCUGCCCAUGUUCCUUUUUAUUUGGAUGUCAAGACACGCCCCGUAUUUACCAAGGCGUGGCUGACUUUUAUUAGGAGCAGCAGCAGCAGCGACCGAUUUUCCCCGAUCCAGAUUUUUUGUUGCUGCAAGUUUGGCAGCUUUAUUACCCUCCAGCCUUUGUAGUUUGGCAGCCCUAUUAACCUCCAAUUUUUGAGGUUUGCUGCCUUUUUUUGGCUGUAGGGGUGGUUUAUUUAUUUGGACCUACAAAAAUGAGGUAAAAUGUUAGUUUAUUGAAUCUGAAAAAAUAAAAAACCUUAGGCAAUAAAUGUGACAAACCUUUUCGGGAGAUGUAACUGAUUUGUCCUUGGGAAUCUUUUUUUCGAGGGCAACAAGGUGUGUGGGCCAUGCCACGUAACUGCCAAUAGCGUCGCUUAAGAACUUCAUAUCUCCAUCGUUGUCCGGUAUGGGCAACGGUGCAGUUGGUUCGAAAGCAACCGUAGGCGAUACUUUGACAUGGCCCGCGGGGAUCGGAAUAUUGUGCAAUACUUCUCCCGAAGUAUUGUACAAUAUUCCUUUUCCCACCUUCCGUUGAGUCGGCGAGGACAAGUAUAGGACACAUGUAGUGACACCCUACAUCAAUAGUUAAAACAUAAGUACAGUUAAUAUAUAAGUUUGUUUAAUACAUAAGUAAUUACAUAAGCAAGUAAGUAGUAAGUAAUUAAUUACCUCGGGAAUACUCUUCAAACCGACGUUGCAACUCCCGGUUUCACUCUCCAUUUGUAUUUCAGGUUGGAGCUGAACCGGAAGUUGCUUGUCUUUAUUCGUAUUCACCAAGAGUGCCACUUGCUCCGAUAGGAUUCUGAGCUUCUCUAAUACUUCCUCGUUGGAAGGUUUUUGGCGCUUCUCUUGAGGAAAAAAGCUUUUGGGAGUUACGCCAAAUCCUUUCCCCCUCACUCGACCGGAAUACUCAGGGACAUUAAACACUUUCCCAAGAAUGUCCCUGCACGUAUCCUUGUUGCCCUCUUGAGUUUCAGAACUUUGUUCAAUAGUUUCCUAAAAUACAUGUAACAUUAAAAAGAUAAGUUCAAUAGCAUUUUUAAAAUACAAUAUUAAAAAAUAUUAAAGUGAUAAUAUACUUACACAAAGUUCUACAACUUUCUUGACAUUUUCAUUAUCAACCACUCCUUCUUUGUUAACACGCGCUUCCUUCCAUAAGAUAUGACGACCCAAGGGUUGAUCGGCUUGGGUGUCUUUUCUCUAUUCGUUAAAAUCAUAAACAAAAUAAUACAAAUUAGUUACACACUAUAGUUUAUAAUACAAAUUACUUCAUUAUAUAAAAGUGAUGUUUAAUUACUUACAAUUUGUUGUUCAAGGCGUGCAUAUCCCAUACGUGAUUUCUUGUAUGGGUGUUUUGGGUUGCUUGCCCGUUCGCGAUUUGCCUUACUAAUAUUCUAUAUAAAAAAAAAAUAGCAAUUGUGUAAAAAUUUAAAAUACGCUACGAAUAUGAAUAAUAAAACACAAAUGCUAAUAAAUUAAUAACUUACGACAAACGCCGGGUCAGAACGUUUGGAAACAAAUGCACUCCAUUCAUCCUUUGAUAUAUAAUGUUGAUAUAUCUUUGGAGGUUCAGCAUUUGUGUUUCCUUCUCUAUCUUUUAGAUAGAAAUUUGAGAGAUGGGAUCUAAAUCCACGAUGGAUUUUCCCAGCAACUCUCAAAACAUAUGACUUUCGUUCCUCAUCAAGAACAAAAGUGGUCUGCAAUGAAAACAAUUAUAAGUAAUGUAUUUUACAGAAAAAAAAUUAUAAAUGACAAAAGAGUAGAUCAAAAUAUUUACUUGAAUGUCAUUCCAGAUGAUAUCUUUGGCAUCCUUCAACGCCUUAUCUCUCCAGUUGUCUAUUGUUAUUGGGACAUUUUGACGAACAACAGCCCCAAUGUAGCUUACAAACAUGGAGCUGUUGGGGUCAACUGGCUGACCACUCUCGUUCCAGCCAACCUAAUAAACUCAUAUAGUAAGUACAUGCCCUAAACCCUAAAAAAAGAUAAAAAAACACACAGCAAACAGAGUAUAUAUAGUAUACCUCAAAUUUAAUGCCAUUACUCCUUGCUUUAAUGACUUUCUGCAUGAUAGUUGCACCACGUUUGACUUCUUUUUCGUAAGUCUUAGAGGUGCCAACUUCUUCAUUUUGAACUUCUAAAUCUUUGUUUGUAUCCAUUUAACUACAACAAGUUCAACAUGCACUUUAGUAUAACAUCAACAAGCUCAACAUGGAUCAUGCAUUAUUAUAAACAAACUCAACAUGUAUCAGUAUAUCUUAAAAAAGCUCAACAUGCAUUUUAAUGAUUACAAAAAAUUUAUAACAUCAAUACCUGAAUAAUGGUUCGAAGAAAGAUGAAAUGUACAGAAAAGAGGGAACGCAGAAAGUUCACAGAAAUAUGGUUCAAAGAAAUAGGAUAUUGAAGAAAUACGUAAUGAGGGUUACGUAUUUCAAUGAAAAUAUAUUGUGUGAAAUGGGAGAGAUGAUCUUGGAUGGAAAUAAGGUUCGAAAUGAAGGAGAUGAUCGUGGAAAUAAGGUUCGUAAAGGACGGGAUGAUAGGGUUUGCAAAAGAAGAGAAGAAAUGAAGGUUGAGAUGAAGGUUACGUAAUGAAGAGGAAACUGAAGAGGUAACUGUUAUAUAUACGUAACACUUUUACAGCGCUUUUUAUAAGCCUUUUACAGCGCUUUCACACAUAAGCGCUCUAAAAGGCUUAUUUAGUUAAAUCUAUAAAAGGCUCUUUUACAGCGCUUUUUUCAAACAAGCGUUGUAAAAGACCUCCGUGUUAUUAUGUUAUUUGAAUGCCUUUUACAGCGCUUUCCCAAAUAGGCGAUGUAAAAGACCUCCGUGUGUUAUUAUGUUAUUUGAAUGCCGUUUACAGCGCUUAUUGUGUAAAGCGCUCUAAAAGGCUUCUUUAUUACUGCAAGACUUGACAAUACAAUUUAAUAUAGUUAAAUUUUUAAAAGGCUCUUUUACAGCGCUUUUUUCAAAUAAGCGUUGUAAAAGACCUCCGUGUGUUAUUAUGUUAUUUGAAUGCCUUUUACAGCGCUUAUUCACAUAAGCGCUCUAAAAUGUCUCUUUAUGUUAAUCUUAAAAGGCUCUUUUACAGCGCUUUUUCCAAAUAAGCGCUGUAAAAGACCUUAUUGUUUUUGUGUUUUGUUAUGUUAUGUUAUUUUUUAAACAAGCUCAACAUGCAUGCAAAACCCACAUAGUAGUAACUGGUCACCACAAAAAUCCCUUCCUCUUCACCAAACUCUUCUCCUUUUAUGCAUCUUCUUCACAAACAUCAAAGCUUACUCUUUCACAAUUCAAUCUCCACCUCAACACCCUUUUUAUCUCUUUACAUUCUCUUUCCUUCUUAAAUCGAAACUUAAUUGGUAUUCAGGAUCAUUGCCAUGUUGCGAAAAAUGGGUUUGUGUCUGGUGUUUUUGGGGAUUCCCAUGAUGCGUACAAGGUGUUUGAAGAAAUGGGUUAAUGUCUGAUGUUUUUUGGAUUCCCAUGAUGCGUACAAGGUGUUUGAAGAAAUGGGUUAAUGUCUGAUGUUUUUUGGAUUCCCAUGAUGCGUACAAGGUGUUUGAAGAAAUUAGGUGUCUGAUGAAUAUUAUUUUUAAAGCUUUUUUACAGCGCUUUGUCAAAUAAGCGCUGUAAAAUGUCUUUUUUACUUAUUUUCAAAAGAGUCGUUUACAGCGCUUUGUGUGAAAAGCGCUGUAAAAGGUAUAAAACACUCAUUAUUUUAUUUUUAAAAGGAUCUUUUACAGCGCUUUUUAAGAUAAGCGCUGUAAAAUGUCUCUUUAUUUUAUUUUUGUGUUUGGUUUAUUUGGGUUGGGAUGACAUUAAAAACAUUUUUAUCAUUGUUUAUUGGAUUAAAAAUAUUGUUAUCAUUGUCUUUAUCACAAUACUUUAGGAGAUGAUGAAUUAUUAGAAAUGAGAACUUCUGAAGAAUCUAUAUAUAUAUGCACUGAGCAAAAGAGAAUCUCUCUAUUCAGUUCAGUUCAGUUCAUGUAAAUUACUAAUUUAUAUUCAGUUCAGUUCAUGUAAAUCAAGCUAAAUAUAAAACACUCAUUGUUACAUGAACUUGGUAUAAAACACUCAAAUCAAGCUAAAUAUAAGCAGAAAAUAAAUUAAUCAGAAAAUAAAUUAAUCAGAACUUAGUAUAAAACACUCAAUUCAGAUUACAUGCAUAUUUACAAUAACACAGUUCAGAUUACAUGCAUAGCUUAUAUAAAACAAUUAAACAUAUACAUUAAGAUGCCCUUCUUCUUUUCCUGGUGACAUUCACAUUUGUUUGUCCAUUUACAAUACGAAACGAUGGAUUAAUCCAAAUUCCCUCAUCAUGAUCAUCUCUAAGAUAUAAACCAUCAUCAGUUGAAUCAAUUUCAUGUGGUUGUUGUGAUGUUGCAAAUAAAAGAUCAUUACCAACAUCUUCAUCAUUAUUGUUAUCAUCACUUAUUUUAUUGGUCGAUAGGACAACAGACCAUUUAUCAUUAGAAGGAUCAGUGACAUAAAACACUUGUUGAGCUUGCGACGCUAAAAUAAAAGGCUCGUCUUUGUAUCCCACCCUAUUAAAAUCGACAAGCAAGAAUCCUGACUCAUCAAUCCGAACGCCAUUAUUAUUAUCGACCCACUUGCAACCAAAUAUGGGAACACGAAACAUUGUGUAGUCUAACUCCCAUAUGCGCUCGAUAACCCCAAAAUAUGAUAGAUUUGCAUAUAUUGGGUUUUUGUCUUUUGCACUUGAGACAUGCAUCGCUUCAGCUACGAGAGUGACUCCACUAUUUUGCAUAGUGGUCUGAUCAUCUUGUUCUUUGGUAUAAAAUGUGUAGCCGUUAAUAACAUAACCAGUGUAAGAAAAGACAUGUAAGCUCGGACCAUUUGCUAGCCACCUCAAUCUAUUUGAAAUUGAUCCGGGGUCUAUAUCAAAUUUUGACAUUAUGUGAUUUUUUAACCAUGUUACAAAACUUCGAUUGUGCUCUCGAGUUAUCCAAUUUUGAUUCCUAUUCAUGUUCAAACGAGAUAACUGAUCAAUGUGUAUUGUAACAUACGGUUGAACCUCAUCAUCAUUGUGCAGAACAUACAAUUGUGCCUGCUCCCAUUCUGUCCUUGAUAUAGUCAGUAGUCUCCUUCCAGUUAUCCCUUCUCCUGAUAGUCUUCCCGAAUGACGAGACAUGGGAAGCCCUAUGGAUUCAACAUUGGACAGAUAUUCAGUACAAAAUUCAGCAGCCUCUUCAACAAUGUAUCGUUCAGCAAUACAACCUUCUGGUCGACUUCUACUUUUUACGUACCCUUUUAAUAUUUUCAUAUAUCGUUCUAUCGGAUACAUCCAUCUCAUAUAAGCUGGCCCACAAAGUUGUGUCUCCUUAACCAGAUGAACAGUAAGGUGAACCAUUAUAUCAAAAAACGAUGGUGGGAAAUACAUUUCAAGCUCACACAAAGUAACAACAAUUUCCCUCUGCAAUGUCGGUAAUUUCUGAGGGUCGAUCACUUUACUACAAAUUUCCCUGAAGAAGAAACAUAAUCUAGUUAAGGCUAGUCGAACUUUUUCAGGUAAAAUGGAACGUAUACCUAUUGGUAGCAAAUGCUCCAUUAUAAUAUGACAAUCAUGGGUCUUCAAACCUUUUAACUUGAGGUCUUUCAUACAAACCAAAUUUUUAAUGUUCGAAGAGUAUCCUUCUGGAACUUUAACUUCGUGUAGAAAUUUACAUAAAACAAUUUUUUCCUUUCUAGAUAGAGUAUGAGCGGCUGGAGGUAGAUAUGUGCGAUUUCCUUUCUUUACUGGAGCCAGUUCAUUUCUUAUUCCCAUAUCGACCAAGUCCAAUCUUGCAUUGACGCCAUCUUUAGACUUUCCUGGAACAUUGAGUAACGUACCAAUAACACUUUCAAAUACAUUUUUUUCAAUAUGCAUCACAUCGAGGAAAUGUCUUACAUACAAUGACUUCCAAUAUGGCAAUUCAAAGAAAAUUGACUUUUUCUUCCACCCAGUUUUCACCAGCUCUCCCGCAAAAGGUUUGCCAAAUUUAUUGGUCAAACCUUGUACUUUUUCAAGUAUUUGAUAUCCAGUCGGUGCUAAAGGAGCUUUACCUUCCUCUGAUUUUCCAUUGAAUGCAUUUCUCCACCCACGAUACUGAUGACUAUAAGGUAAAAAUCUACGAUGUCCAAGAAACACAUUCUUCUUACAAUGUUUCAACCGCAUCCAAUUUGUACUCUCUUCACAUAUAGGACAUGCACACUGACCUUUAAUGCUAUAUCCUGAUAAAUUACCAUAUGCUGGAAAAUCAUUAAUUGUGCCGAACAACAUAGCCCUCAAAUUGAAACACUUUUUCCUAUACCCAUCAUAAACUUCCACACCUGUCUCCCACAGAAUUUUUAAAUCUUCAAUUAAAGGAGUCAAGUAUACGUCGAUAUCAUUCCCCGGUUGUUUGGGUCCAGAAAUUAACAGAGACAACAUCAUAAACUUACGCUUCAUACAUAACCAUGGAGGUAGGUUAUAUAUUACCAAAAUCACAGGCCACGUGCUAUGUGAGAUGCUUUGAAGACCAUGUGGAUUCAUUCCAUCAGUAGAAAGUGCAAGUCUUAGAUUUCUUGACUCUAUCCCGAAUUCAGGAUACUCGUGAUCAAUUUUUGCCCAUUGUGGGGAAUCUGCAGGGUGUCGAAACAUUCCAUCUCUAAUUCUUUCAUCUGCAUGCCAUGUCAAGUGUUUUGAAUCUUCUUCACUGCGAUACAUGCGCCUAAAUCUUGGUAUUAUAGGAAAAUACCACACGACUUUUGCUGGAGUAGAUUCUUUCUUCUUAUAUCGAGAGACAUUGCAUUUCGGACACGCCUUAAGUAGUUCAUAUUCGUUUCGAAAUAAAAUGCAAUCGUUAGGACACGCAUGAAUCCUUUCGUAACUCAUUCCAAUAGAACACAAAAUCCGUUUAGCCUCGUAGGUUCGACUGGGAAGUUCAUUAUCAUCUGGCAACAUAUCUUUUAUGAGUGUUAAUAAUUCCGUAAAGCUUUUAUCAGACCAUCCAUUACUCGCUUUUAAGUUGUACAACUUUAAUAUCGCUGACAGUCUUGUGAAUUUAGUACAACCAUUAUAUAAUUCUUUCUCUGCAUCACUCAACAAACUUUCAAACAUUUUAGGACAAUCUCGAAGAUCUUCUUCAACUGCUUUUGCAAUCUCAUCAACUCGGUCCGGCUCAUAUGUAUCUGUAUCGAAAUCAGUUGAAGCAUAUGUAGAACUAUUCUCAAAAUUAAUGUUUCCUUUUUUUUUCUCACCAUGUCUUAUCCAACAUGUGUAGCUUUGAUCAAUUCCAUUACAUACUAGAUGUCCUUCUAAUUCAUCUUCUCUAACACGUUUUCCAAAACAACAUUUUAAACAAGGACAAACUACUCUAUUUGGAUCUUUUGCAUUCUUCACUGCAAACUCAACAAACUCCUUCACUCCAAUUUCAUACUCUUUUGACAAUCGAUUGGCUGAAAUCCAUUUCCUAUCCAUAUUAUACCACCUAUAUAAAUGCAGUAACAAAAAUAAUAAGCUUUCAAAACAUAUCAACAAGUUUCAAAAAGAAACCAAUAUCAACUAACAAUUUCAAAACAGAACAGAUCAUGUGGUAUGAGUUUUUGACAAUUUUUGACAAUUUCAAAACAUAACAGAUCAUGUGUAAAAAAUACCUUAGACAACGUAGAUGGCCGCACAGUACGUAGAGGAUAUUAGGGUUCGCAACGUAUAUAAUUAUUUGAAAGAUGUAGAGGAUAUGAGGGUUUCCAACGUAUAUAAUUAUUUUAAAGAUGUAUUUUACAGCGCUUGUGAAAAACGCGCUGUAAUAGGUAGUUAAAUUCAAUGAAAGCGCAUGUGUUUUACAGCGCUUGUGAAAAAAGCGCUGUAAUAGGUAGUUAAAUUCAAUGAAAGCGUAUGUGUUUUACAGCGCUUGUGAAAAAAGCGCUGUAAUAGGUAGUUAAAUUCAAUGAAAGCGCAUGUGUUUUACAGCGCUUGUGAAAAAAGCGCUGUAAUAGGUAGUUAAAUUCAAUGAAAGCGCAUGUGUUUUACAGCGCUUGUGAAAAAAGCGCUGUAAUUCCAACGUAUAUAAUUAGUUAGCGCAUGUGUUUUACAGCGCUUGUGAAAAAAGCGCUGUAAUAGGUAGUUAAAUUCAAUGAAAGCGCAUGUGUUUUACAGCGCUUGUGACAAAAACGCUGUAAUAGGUAGUUAAAUUCAAUGAAAGCGCAUGUGUUUUACAGCGCUUGUGAAAAAAACGUUGUAACUGAUUCGCGAAAGCGCUUCCUUUUAUAGCGCUUUUUUGACAAGCGAUGUAAAAGCCUUAUAACGUGAUGCGCAAACGUUAUAUGACCUACUACAGCGCUUGUUUUACAGCGCUUUGCAUCAAAAGCGCUGUAAUAGGUUCCGUUAUUUUUAAAAUAUAAUUACAACAGCGCUUGUGUUUAGCAAGCGCUGUAAAAUGGGCGUUGUUAAAUGUUAUUUUUGGCGUAGUGUCACAGCAAACUAACAUGAUAUAGACGUAUGUAAUUUAUUGUUUCAUAUAAAAGAUACCUUGAGAAUCUAAGUGUAGAAGUUGGAGUCCAAGAAAGCAAGGAUGAAAUGGCACAGUGAAGGGAUAGGAAUUCUAGUUACUUAAAUAGAAAAGCCAAAAUGAGACAAACCCUGCCCUUUAUAAUACUUAGGUGUUCCAAUCUUCAAAGGAAAUCCAAAAGCUAUUCAUUUGCAACUUAUUGUAGAUAGAAUCAAAGUUAAACUUUCAGCAUGAAAGCCUCCUUAUAAUUAUCAAUGGAAGGAAGAGUCCAACUCAUAAAGAGUUUGAGACAUGGCAUGUUAGUUUAUAGCCUUCUUGUUUACACUUGGCCUAGUAUAUUAAUUAAAGAUCUUGAAAAAUGUAUGAGAAAAUUCAUAUGGAGUGGAGACAUCAACAGAGAAAAUUUGUCACAAUGGUAUGACAUAAACUUUGGGAAUUAGAUCUUUGUCCAAGAUAAAUGAGGCCGCAAAUUUGAAGCUUAUAUGGGAAUUCUUUCACUCCUCUAACUAGUGGGUGAAAGAGUAAAUAGUGAUGGAGAUCAUUGUUUGAGUAAAUGGUGUGCUUACGUAGUUGGAAUACCAAUCGUUUAUCUAUAGAAAAAAUGUUUAAAUAAUAUUUUCAAAUAAUACAUCAAUAUGAUGUUUAGAUUUUGCAAAAAUUCUUUCAAUUUUUCGUCCCUUCAAUUUUAGUCCUUACUUUUUAAUGAAUGUUCGCACGGCAAAUUUAAAAUAACUUUUUUUUUUAAUUAAAUUCCUAAAACAUUACCAACUUAGAAAUUUAAUCAUUUAAUAUUUCUAAAUUGUAAUAACAUGAAACCGGAAGAGCAGGAGUUCAAUUCUUUUCAGUGACAUUUGUAAAAUAACAAUUAAUUUCAUUGUAUUAAUUAUAAUUUGUCCAUUCUCCAUUUCAGUCUAUGUAAAAAACUGUGUUUUUUAGUUUUUACAAAAAAAAUCUGCAAACAGUUUUAGUCCUUGUUAAGAAAAAAUAUGUUUAAUUGUAUUUGAAUUUUUAAAUUUUUUAAUGAUUUUUUGUAUGGACGAUUAAAACAUUAUCAAAAGUUUCUCCAUAUAAAUUAAAUUUUUUUUAACUUAACAUAAAUUAAAUAUGAAAUUUUUAAAUGUCAUAAAUCUAAGAUACAAGUAACAAAAAUAUGAACUUAGAAAUCAAAUUUUGAAUUCAUGUUUUAUAUUUUAAAUUUUCUAAAAAUAUAUCAUGUCUGUGGAGGAAUUUUGAACCACAUCGAAUACAAGAACUCAAGGUCAAAAUUCCAAAUUCAUCUUAGAGUUCAAAGAGAAAAACACUUGUUCGAAUGCGAAAUAUUUUCUUAAGUGUUCUUCUUAUAAUGUGAUAGUCAUUGUUAUAAUCAACUUGUUAGAAGCAACUACUCAAGUUCAAAUCUUUGUAUUCAAACUCGAUAGUGGUGUCAGCGUGCCUAUAAAAAUCUCGGGUUGUCAGAUUAUGUGGAAAAGAUUUGGAUGGCAGAGUCAGGUUGUGUGUGUUUCUUAAAAGUCUGGGGUUGUCAAGUUGUUGAAUUAGUGGAUUAAAUCAUUUUGAGUGAAGGGACUAGAUGUAGCCAAGUUAGUGGUGAACUAGGAUAAAUUACUUGUGUCUCUUUAUUCCUACACUCCUUAGUUUUGUUAUUGCUUCUACUCCAAGUAAAUCAUCAAAUCUGAACCAAUUUAAUUAAAUAAUGAAAAAAUUAUCAACUUAGUCAAACACAAUUCAACUCCUGCUUCUUGUGUUUGCACCUUCAGUUCCCAUAUCAAGUAUUUUGAACAAACCUAACACUGCAUCCUCUAAUCUUUGAUCUAAGUUAUAAGGAACAUCAAGACUCUACUAUUAUUUUCGUAUUCUUAGUCUGGUGAUCGUGCCUAUGGUGACUUUAUCUAAUACAACCAAUGCUCUAAUUGGUUUGGCUAUUAUACAUAAAACUAACAUUUGUUUACUUCUGUAUCUGAUUGUGUGCCUUAGAUAAUCUCGUUUAGCAUUUGAUCAUCUCCCUCAAUUGAAAAGUUAACGCUCUGAUAAAAAGUCAACACUCAAGAUAGUCAAUGCUCUAAUGAUAAUUAUUGCUCUGAAAAAGUCAACACUGUAAAUAGUUGUAACACCCUUAGUUUUAAAUUUUAAUUUAUGUAUUUUGGUGGAUUUUGGUAUUGAAUUAUGAGGCUUGUUAGCCAAGUUAUUGAUAUUUUGCGAGUUUAAUGUCAAAAAUAUCUUUUUGGUUCCCCGAUUAAAAUUAUUCGUCGACAAAUAAAUUAGAUUAGUUAUGAUGAAUCUUUUGUCAAAGAAGAAUUUAAUACGAGCAGUUUUGUUAAAUAUAUCUCGGGUUGCUGAAAAUUUUAUCUGUCAAUUUAGUUGCGACCAGAGUAGAUAUUUUUAUCAAAAUAGUUUGAGAUGUGAGUGAAGUGAUGUGUGUAAGAGUAUUUAGAUACACUAAUAAUAUAUAUAUAUAUAUAUAUAUAUAUAUAUAUAUAUAUAUAUAUAUAUGUAAUGUAUGUAUAUAUAUAUAUGAGAAACAAACAGAGAGGGGGGGGAAAAACUAAAACCCAGGCCACGCGAACAGUUUUCUUUAUUCUUUCUCUGUUUCAAGAAAACAAAACACAAGUGUUAGUGUUUUUUUAAAAAACUCAAAAACAAACCUCCACAUUUCUUCUAGAUCUAAGUUUUAUUUUACAAAGUGACAGAAGGAAAAGUUGCUCCUCUCCAUGCUACCGUGCUAGUGAGCCAACUUAAGAAGCGACGAAGCGAGCAUACAUUUUACCGAAAUUAUUUGCGGUGUUGUAAUUGCUUGUUAAAGCUACAACCGAGGUAAGGGCUCCUUCCAAAUUUUUAUCUUACAUAUAGGAUGCUAUAUGUGUAUUUGUGGAGUUGGAAUUUGGUGAAAUGGAUGUGUGAUUUUGUGGAAAAGGAAUUUAAUUAAUUUAUGUGUGUUUUUGAGGAAAUUAUAUUUGAUGUGUUUGAGGUUUGGUUUGUGAAAAUUAAUUUGGUGUGAUUUAUGUUUGAAAAUAUGGGAAUUUAUGGGUGAUUGAUGAUUGAACUUGGUGUGAAUUUUGUGGAAUUUGAAUUGAUCAAAUUUAAUGUAAAUUGUGGAUUAAAUUUGAUGUGUGAUGGUGGAAAAUAUAUGUUUGAGUAUGCUCUGUAUUGAAUUUGAAAAUCAUUAGUGUUAAAUGAGUAUUAAAAAUGGGGAAUCUUUUAAUAGCUACAUUUACUUAAUGGUUGUGGUGAAAAGAGUUAGAGUAUGCUUAUGCAUUUCAUAGUACAUGGUGACCGAAUGGGCCAUGGUGAUAGUGGUGACCAGAUGGGCCACAAGAUGAUGCCAUGUGAUUUGUUGGUUCAUCUUAUCCUUACGACGAUUAUCACAUCGUGCUGAUCUGUGAGAGAUUGCACUCUAAAAUAUGCUGAUCUUUGAGCAAUUGCACUCUAGAAAAUGGUGUAAGGCCUGUGAUAGGCGACACUUAGUAAAUCGUGUGUGCCUGUGAUGAGUGGCACAUUGGUAAUUAGUACAAGGCAUGUGAUAGGCGGUACAAUUAUGAUUUACGCCCUUUCGAUGAGGGUUUUAGUUGGAAUUCCAUAAUCAAGCAUUUUGGCAUAUACGCAUUGCAUUAGGGUGCUUGGCACGCGAGUCAUGUUUGAUAUACUGUGAUGAUUGUAUAUACAUACUCAGUUGUUGUUUGUGAUUGUGCCGAAAUUGGUAAGUGUGAUUGUUUGGAUUUGUGUGUAAGUGUUGAUUGAAUGUGGAACUUUUUCGAAACUAAAAUCUGCAUUAUUUAGCAGUUGUAUUCGAAUACGAGGAGCUUGUAUUCGAGCACAUUUAAGUGGAUUUUGCUACUGACUUAGCACUUGUAUUCGGCUACGCCCGUGGUAGUCGAAUACAGUUGUGCAGGAUUUUUCACAGUUUUCUCACUUGUAUUCGGCUACAAGGAUGCUGUAGUCGAAUACAAUUGUGUUGUUUUUGCUACUGACUUACAAAUGAUAUUGUAUUUGAAUACAAGGAUGAUGUAUUCGAAUACAGUUGUGCUGAUUUUGCUACUGACUUGUGAAUUAGCAUUAUAUUCGAAUACAAGGAUGCUGUAUUCGAAUACAACAGUGCAAUUUUGUCAAAAACUUCAUUAUUCAACUUGUUUAUGCAUGUUUGACAUAUGAAAACCCUUUCAAGGAGUAUGCUAAGAUGAAAGGUUAUUUUGUGCAUUUAAAAUUUAAAUGCUAAGUGAUAUUUGUUAAUUUCGGUUGGUUACCCUUUACAAUUAUUGUGGAUUUGGGCUUUGCCCUCAAAUGAUACCCGAGUCCAUUCCACGAUUAUUACCCUAACGACGGAAACAUCGUUAGACUUUCCUGACCGAGAUUCGCCGACUUCUUAGGCAUACGACCCCAUCUCAAGCAGGGCUACUUAUACGGGGAGGGUAACGAGGACGAGUAGGAGAGAUGGAGCAGUAUACCUAACGAGGACGAGGACGGGGAGGCUACUUAUACUCGCGAGAAGAUCGACUAUCCAGUACCAACAGGAUUGAUGCUCGAAAUGGGUGGAGCAUGGGAAGAUGCAGAUGAUUCUUCAGUUAGGGUUGAGGUAGAGGCCACUGUAGGAGCCGAGGAUACAGCGGCUGAACCAUGGACUAACGGAAAGGAUAAGGGGCCGAGGCCAGUGGAGCGAGAGAUUGCAGGACCAUCUAGGAGGGCCGAGUCAGAGUUUCCUUCUUCGGUGAAUGAUCACUUACCGACCACCAUUGAGUUAUUGAAUUGUUUUGAGAUUCCAGCACCACCGAAGCCACCUAUCUCGUGGGUGGAUCUGACUUCUGAAGAGACCAAUCCGUUUAUGGAUGUUGAUGACGAGGAGGCUACCUCUUAGAUGGAUACUGCGUCAGACGGGACUUAUGGAGUGUGUGGAGGUCACCCAUGUUAUUGUAGUUGUUUGAGUAUGAUCAGAAUAGUUUUGUUGUAUAGGGACUUGAUGUCUUCUUUUGGUGAUUGUACUUAUUUCAUUUUGGGAUGACUAUAACUAUACUUAUACGGUCAGAUGACUUCUGUUUUGGUGGGUCCAUGUUCCAUUUUUUGACGUGACCAUUGGGGGAUUAGUAUAUCUUGGAGCAGUACUUGUACACGUGUCUGCCAAGAAUAUCCUAGGGGUUUGACUGAUGUCUGAUAGGUCUUAUCGCCCCAGUGUAUUUUAUAUUUGAAUAUUUUGGUUUAUCACCUCAAGACUAUUUCAAUUUGUUAUAAUUAUGAUGUAAUUAAUUAUGACAUUUUUUCGUUUGUGCUACACUUUGAUAUUUUAUUAAUUGUUAAAGAAAAAAAAAUACAUUCCCGUUGUUAAAAAUCGUGGUGUUACAUUAGUGGUAUCAAAGCUUUGAUUAGAUUGUAGGUCGACCUGUAGCUUGGAAGUCAUUAUCUGAUCAUGCGUCGGGGUAAGUUGUUGAGGUGUCAAGUCUUGUGAAAUUUGUUAUGUGUUAAUGAAGUCGAAAGUUGUCUUUUGGAAUUUUUCUAAGGGGGUGUUAAGAUUUCUUCUUGAUGAUUGGUUUUAUAGGAAACAAUGCCUCCAAGGAGGAACGACGCUACAAGAAUCAACGUCAACGGGGACGAUCGAAUGGCUGAAGCAAUGAAUAACAUGGUUGUUUCUGUUGCUGCACAGACUGCUGCCAAGACUCCGUGGGAUCUAGAAAAGAGGGAAGGAGAGAUCUGUGCUACUGAAUCAAGAGGAUUGGAAUAUUUUCGACGUUACAAUCCUCCCAAGUUUAAGGGUGAUGAGAAUUCAAAGAAAAUGGAUCAGUGGAUCCAAGAAGUGGAAAGGAUCUUUCAGAUGAUUAACUGUUAGGCAGGAGUGAAGGUCAACUAUGCCACUUAUCUACUAUUAGGGGAUGCUGAGUAUUGGUGGAGGAGUACAAGGUUGUUGAUGGGACCAGCUCACGAAGAGGUGAACUGGGAAUCAUUCAAAAGGAAGUUUUUAGAAAAAUACUUCCUGAUGAGUACCAGAACUAAACUGGGUGAUGAUUUUCUAAAACUUCAUCUGGGGAACAUGAUAGUGGGCAAAUAUGCCGCUAAGUUUGAAUCGUUGUCAAGGCAUUUCAGGUUUUUCCGUGAAGAGAUUGAUUAAUAAUUCAUGUGUCAUCGUUUCCAAGACAGACUAAAGUAUGAGAUCCAAGACUCUGUCUUACCCUUGGGAAUUCAACGUUUCCAAGUUCUUGUGGAAAAAUGUAGAGAAGUUGAGGAUAUGACAAAUAAGAGGGCUAGUCGAGGAGGGAAUUUUAAUUCAGGAGGGCCUAGUCGGGUGAAUUAUCAGAACAACAAGUUGCUAAACCUUAUAAUCGACCACAGAAUAACAACGGGGGGCAGAAUCGUCCGGGGAACCCGAAUUUCAGAAGGCAAUUGGGACAAGGGAAUCGAUGUUCCGAUGUGGGGAAGAGGGACAUUAUGCUAAUGUUUGUACCUCUAAGGGACUUACAUGCUACAACUGCCAGAAGCUAGGGCACAUUGCAAGGGGUUGCACGGAUCCGAAGGUGGAACCAAUUGUGAAUGUAACUAUGGCUACUUGGUCUACUGCUAGAGGGCGCGUUUAUUGCGUGAGUGCUGAAGCUAGAAAUCCAUCUAGCAAUCUGAUUCAACGUGACUGUGAGAUUGCAUGUAACACUCUAACUGCACUUUUUGAUUCGGGGGCAACCCAUUCCUUCAUUGCUAUGGAUUGCUUGAUCGUUUGAAGUUAUCUGUAUCUGUUUUGCCUUUUGAUUUGGUUAUUUCCACACCUGCUAAGACUUUGACAGUAAAUUCUGCAUGUUUACAUUGUCAAACAACUAUCCAGAAUAGAGAUUUCUUGAUUAAUUUGAUUUGUUUACCUCUCCAAUUACUGGAGGUCAUUCUUGGUAUGGAUUGGAUGUCGUAUCAUUAUGUGAUAUUGGAUUAUGCUCGCAAACUGAUUCUUUUCCCCGAACUAGGAGUUGUUAAGUAUCUAGCGGCUAACAAACUCGGAGUGUCGCUAAGAGAAGGAACUCAUGAGUUUUUGUCUUUGGCUAAUGUGGAGGCAAAGAUAAAUGUGAACAUAGAGGAUGCGAUGCUUGUCAAUGAGUACCCAUACGUAUUUCCAACAGAAAUUCUAGGAUUGCCACCAAUAAGAGAAGUGGAAUUUUUCAUUGAUUUGCACCCAGGAAUCUGACCAACUUCGAUUGCGCCGUAUCGAAUGUCACCAUUGGAAUUAAAUGAGCUCAAAGACCAAAUUGAAGAUUUGUUGGAGAAGAAAUUUAUUAGACCAAGUGUAUCACCAUGGGGAGCUCCAGUGUUGCUAGUUAAGAAGAAGGACGGAAUCUCGCGCUUAUGUGUGGAUUAUAGACAGCUUAAUAAGGCAACUAUUAAGAAUCGUUAUCCUUUGCCACACAUCGAUGAUGUGAUGGAUCAGUUGAGAGGAGCCGCGGUAUUUUCGAAGAUUGACUUGAAGUCGGGUUACCAUCAAAUUCGAGUAAGGGAAUGAGAUAUUCAAAUAACUGCUUUAAAAACCUGUUAUGGAUAUUAUGAAUAUCUUGUUAUGCCGUUUGGAGUUACCAAUGCACCAGCAAUUUUUAUGGACUACAUGAACAUAAUCUUUAGUCCAUUCCUAGAUAAAUUUGUUGUGGUGUUCAUUGAUGACAUAUUAAUUUAUUCAAGGACUGAGGAAGAACAUGGAGAACAUUUGUGCCAAGUUCUUUAAAUUUUACGCGAGCGAGAAGCAAUUGUAUGUCAAUCUGUCGAAGAACAUCCAUUCUCAAUUUUCGUCGAUUGUAACUUUUUGUUUUCAUCAAUUUCACCAUAAUUAGUCGAUAACAAUUAUAAAUACUUACAAAUUUAUCUUUAAGAUGAUUAAAUUUUAUCGGCAAAUUUGUCACUGAGAAGAUCACAUUAAUAUGGAAUCAACGUGAAUAAGCUACAUAUUCAAUUACAGUGACACCAAAAUAUCUAACGACAAAAGUUUAUACAAGGACUAUUUUAAUUGAUAUUUUACGAAGUCAAUGAUAUAUUUGUCAAUUAACAAAAUUCAAAGACUAACCAACUAUUAUAAUUUCAGAGACCAAUUUAUAUAUUCACCCAUUAGUAAAGAUUAUUUCAACUCUUUUAACAAACCUUUUUAGUUGCCAUUCAUGUUGGAAUUUUAGAUUGGUAUGUGUAUAGGCUUCGUUAUGGUUUGUUUUGAUUUUCAAAUACUAAAACCAGUUUCAAUUUUGAGUUUUCAUCGAUUGCCCUUUCAGUUCUAAAUUUGAAUUCUUAAUUGAAUUUCAGUUUUUGUUUAAUUUUACUGGAAUCAUUCAAUUUACUUUGUCUUAUUAUAAAUUCAUCAAAUAAAAAAAUAGUAAUGGCAUGUAAAAAUCAAUAAAUAUGAAAAAAUAAAAACAAUACUUCCUCCAUACAAAAACAAUUGUCGCAUUUGCCCAUUUGACACCAACUAAAAAAAUAUGAUAAAUUAAAAAUAAAGAAGAAUAAUUUCACCAAACUAUGUUUACGCGUCAUUCAUUGAUUUCAAUUAUCAUAAAUUUCAAGUGGGUGAAAAUAAAGUGGAAGUGUUGCAUGUAAUAUUUAUUUUAGGGUAAACUUUGCAAAAAGAAAUUAAAGUUCCAUUGAAAACCAUAUGCGACAAUUAUUUUAAAAUAAAUUUUCUUGCAAAAACGACAAUUAUUAUUGAAUUGAAGGGGUAUUAAAAUUUAAUUAUUUUAAAAUAAGUCAAAUAUUGUAAAAUUAUAAUUUAUUUAAUUAUAAUAAAUUAUGUUAGUAAUAGUAGUUGAAAGCAUUAGUUGUAGAAGACAACUGUGGUAAUAGUGAUCGAUCUUUGAAGGAUACUGCAAUGCUCAAAAGAGAUAGUUGAAAGUGGUUGUUGUUGCGUGACUGUAAUGGUGGUCGUUGAUGGUGCCAAUGGUGGUCAGAAGUGAAUAGCCGGUGGUAGUGGCAACAAAUAUGGUGGUGACGAUUGUUAGAGGUGGGUGGUCACUACUAGAAAAAUCAAUUUUAGUUGCCAUAUUUAGCGUCAGUCCCCGACUCCAACGCUAGUUAGCGUCAGUGUAGCGUCGGUCAAGUAGACGCUAGAGUGCCAAAUUUUGUUUUUUAAUUUUAUUAAUAAUUUUAAAUAAAAUAAGGCAUACGCUAGUUUAUUUUUUUUAUCCUUUUAUUUUUUAUUUUAUUAUUUAGCGUGGGUGUGGCCGACGCUACAUUUAUGAUUUUUAAAAUUAAUUUUUUUAAUAUUAUUUGAAAAAUUAAUCUAAAAACUUCACUAUCCCUCAACACUCUCACUUUCACUCCGUAUUCCUCGAGUUUUUCAGAUAACCCUAACUCUUGAACCCAUCACCCACUCUCAACCCUCUCGAUGUCAUCACCUACACCGUAUUCGCCUUCAGGCUGAUCGCCGCCGCAUCACUUUUUCCAUCAUCUCACUCACUCUCGUGCAUGUCACCCACUCUGGACCCUAGCUCUCGAACCCGUCACCCACUCCGAACCCUCUCAAAUCCAUCACCCACUUCGUCCUCACCGUCAAGCUCAGCCUCUCGUUCCCUCACCUCACUCACUCCCGCGGCCUCACCAUUUCCACUACAAAAAAAAAAUUGAAGAUUGCGACACAUAGCUUGCGACUCGAGAAGGAGAAAACCGAAGAGCUCUUGAAAGCCAAAGACGAGAUCAUGAAACUAAAGGAUGAAGAACUUGAAAAUCGUAGCAAGGAGCAAGAGAAAAUUCAAAUUGAGUUUAAGAAAUUACAUAAAUUGAAGGAAUUCAAACCCACCAUGGUUAGUUACUUCGUUUCAAUUUCAAUUUCAUUAUUAUUUUUUCAAAGUUUUUUUAAUUUUGAAUUAGGUGUCCUAUUUAGGGUUUUGUCCAAAAAAUUAUCAGACCUGAACAAUGAGGUGCCUUCCCUUCAUACCCCUAGUGCACAACUUGUACAAUGUCAAUUGCUGGUUUUAUUUCCUCUGAUAACUCUGUUGUUGUUAAGACACUAAAAAAGGGCAUAUUAUGGUAAUUCCACAAGGUUUGUUGCAUUUUCAGUUUAAUGCUGGAUGGGAUAAAGCUAUUGUUUUUCUUACACUUAGUAGUUCAUACCCCUAGUGCACAACUUGUUGAUUUUGGUUUGUUUGGAAAUAGUUUGAAUUCAGGUUAUGUUGAAAAGACUACUUUGAUUGAUCAUGCUCAAGUUAAAAAACUUAAGGCUAUUUUUGGAGAGAGUGACUAGCUAGGUUUAAUUGUUGAGUUUUCUUGUUUUAUGUCUAAACCAUUAUUGUAUUGUGUGUUGCUGUAAGGUUUGGUAAUUGUUAAGUCAUUCAAUUCCACAAUUAAAAUUUGUGUUUCUUUUUUUGCAAAUAAUUUGAUUAUGGUUUGUCAUAUUAAUAGAAAGUCAAAUUAAAUUAUCCAUUUUGUUGUCAAAAGUAUGUUUCUAAUCUACUGACUGUGACCAAAUAAAUAAAUUAUUGUUCUUCUAUCUUACCUCUAGUAGCAUGCUAAUUAACAAUGAUGUGGCUUAUGUUGAGUCCUAAUGUUUAUGAUGUCAUGCCAACUUAGGUAGUUAAUUGAUGUUCAUUUUAGAUCUUAAUUUUAAAUUUUUGUGUAAUUUUUCUUUCAAAUAAGUCAAUCCAAAGAAACACUUAGUUUAUGAUUUUCUGCUUCUGUUACUACUGAUUGAUCAAGUUUCUUCACUUGGGGGAUAUAUGGACUUGAGUGGUUCUUAUUUGUGAAGAAUAAUGUUAUAGGUAGAUAAUGAGAGACUGUGGUUCGAGGUCGGUGGUGGUGGAAGGUGUAUGAUUGAUGGUAACAGUAGUCAUAGAUGGUAGUGGUAGUAGUUGUUGAUCAUUUAUUUUGUUUUUAAGUUUAUAUUUAAUUUUUUAUUAUAAUUUCUUUUUGUUGUUAAAAGCUAAUAUAUAUAUAUAUAUAUAUAUAUAUAUAUAUAUAUAUAUAUAUAUAUAUAUAUAUUCAAUUUUUGUUAUAAAUGUGUUAAGUAAUUACAAAUGAAUUUAAUAUGACAUAAAUUCAACGUCACUUUAUUUAAUUAUCACAUAAUCAAAAUAAACUUUAAAUUAAAGUUUGAGCAAAAAAAUUUAAAAAUAAAAGAGUCAAAAUUGCAAAGACAAAAAUAAGAACAAAAUUAACGGAUUGAAUAAAUUUAAGCUACCAAAAAGCAUUUAAUUCAAAUUAUCGUGCACACAUCAUAUAGUAUACGUGGCAAUGCAAAGCUCACAACAAAAGAAUACUUUUCUUGGAAGCACACAAUUAUGCUUGAUCGCCAAGGUUCGCAUUAACUACCAAACAAAAAUAUCCCUAUUUAAUAAGGAUAGCGGGCCAUAUAUUAUUUCCAUGUGUAUAAUCCACUAAGUUGGAAAGUAGUCAAACUCAACACACAUAUAUUAUUAAUUUAAUUUCCUUGGUGGCCAAGACAAUCAAAUGCAUACAUGCCUAUAUAUACAAAAAGAAAAACAAAUCAACCAAAUAAAUCACAUACUCCAAAUACUGUAUAGUUGUAGAGUGAACACACAUUUGAUGGCAGUGGGAGUUGAUCUUGCUGAAGCAUAUGUGUUGCGAAAGAUGCAUAAAGAAAAAUUGAAGGAAAAGGAAGAAACCGGGAGAUCCAAGACAAGCACGAUAAUUGGAUCUAAACCCAAUAGAUCAAGUGGGUGUGUCUUUUGGUUUUCUAAGAAACUAAGAAGAACUACACGAAUAAGAGAUGACAUCAAUGAAAAAGAUGUGACAAAAGAGAUUUUGGAUCCAAUUUUUAAAAAUGAUCUUCGAUGAGUUAUUGAUUGAUAUAUUGUGAUUAAUUAAGAAUGUAAUUUAAUGUUUUGAGGUUAUUUGUAUUCAUCUUCACCACAUGGAUGAGCUGAUGAAUAAAUAUUACUUUUGUGCAAGUUUUGUAUGAUCUAGAUGAUGAUUUUAGAUUAUGCUUUUUUGGAUGAUGUUUUUUUACUAGACAUGUAUUUGAUUAAAGCAUCAAAACUUCAAGAACCUAUAUAUUUUGCUAGACUUAGUACUUUAAGUAUUAAACUUUAUUUGAAUACUACCAUUUAUUUGUUUACUAUAUAUGUUACUAAUGUUAGAAAAUUUCUAUACUACCAUUUAUUUGAAUAGAAC